CCUUAGGCCGGUAAGCUGUUGUGACCGGUCACCCGGUUGCAACGCCACCUACUGGGAAAAGGUGAGUGGGCUUUCCAAUGUACAUUACAAUACAAAUGUCAAAAUGCACACAAUACCCAUUAGCACUGAAUUCAAGUAAACAGGAUUUCUUCACAGGACGUAAACUGGUGAGCCCACUCCUUGUAUGGUCACAGCUUUUAGUGUUCCAUGUUGCAACUCCAAACUCAGAGACAAUUGUCUGACUGUUAACACGGCGCUACACAUUGGGAAACUGUUCCUGUGAAUAUCACAGGGAAGCAGGCAGUGGGGAACAAUACACAAGGCCUGGUAGUAUCUUUUUGAUACUUAAUGGGGAUGUGUAGCUGCACCCAGGGCCAUUAGUUGUUACUCGUGAUGCCUCUUACUACAACGGCAUCAAAAUAAAUGUCUGCUUCAAACAAAAGAGAGACAGCACCGUUUCUGGAUUAUUAUUUUUUUAAAAAAAAUUCAUCACCAUAUCCUGAUUUUUCAUCUACUAAAAGGCUUGAGGGCCAGAGAAUAAGGGUUAUUUUCCACCCAGCAUUUUAGCAGUCUGCAGUCAUGCUAAAGGGACACCUGUCCAGGAAAGCAGGAAGCACAACAUGGAUGAAAUGAUCUCAUACAUUCUCUGUGUAAUACUGGCUCUCCAGGCAGUUAGUGGAAGCUACCGCAUGGAAACAAGUCAUAAGGCCUUUUAGUAGCAGAUUUGAUGGAAAGAACUACUGUAUGUUAAUUUGAAGGCGGGGGACACACACACAAUAUUGAGAACUUAAAUAGUGACAAAGUUCAAACAUCUGGCAUAGACCUUUUCUCUACAGCUGUUAAAUUCCAACUAGCACAUUCUUUUUACCAGCAUUUUUCUUUCUAGCAAAGAAAUCUAGUACAGAGAUGAGGCUUAUUACGUGUCUGACAUUAAUUUCUCAUUGUUAAACUUAUCUACAAAAGGCAGUUAUAAAAUUGCUCACGGCAAUCAAGAUCCUGGUUUCAUGCCAGUUUUUCAACAGAUAAGCACUUUCAAAAAUAAUUAUUUUUCAAUAGUGUUAUUGAAGUUGAGAACAGUUUUUCCCCUUCAAUCUUUUCAGUUUUCCUCUUAAUUAAAUCUAUUUUCUAGAAUUGCAUCAUGCACUACAAAUACAAAAAGCUAUCUUCUGAAUUCAACAGAAUCCAACAUGCCUUUGACUAUGGCAUGGUCUUGUUGCGGUAUUUGUAACAUGUUCAAAAUUUGUUAUCCCAUGCUCAUAUGAUGCUAGUUUUUAUUUUUAAUUAUUGGCUGCCUGGGAAUAAAUCUCAUCCACAUUGGGGGCAGAGGCAGGUUAAACCAAACAAAAGAGCUUAUGACCCAUGACUGACUAAUACUAAUAGGGGCUAAUCUCAUUAAUGCACUCUUCUUAAAAGACAUCUAGUAAUGGAAAAUGUGCCUUGUAAUAGUUUCUUCCCAUUGGAGUAAGUUUGCAUCAUUUAAUUCCACUGGGUUUAAAGGUGGUUAGACUGAUGAUGAGUCACAGACACUGUGUUUUCAUGCAAAUAUAUGGACACUACAAAUUAAGUAGUUUAGUAACGCAGUAGUACUAAAAAUGUGAAGUUUAUUUUUACUUGGGUUUGUGACCAUUGUUAUGGCAAAUGUGUUUCAUUUAUUUUCAAUCUUUCUCACCCUACGCUAAAUCUUAAGUUGCUUUAAAAACUCAUUUAAAGGAAGUAGUAAUAGGCUUGUAGGAAGAUUUAAGGAGCCCCCACCCCCACCCCACAAUCAGGCAUCUCACUCCAGGUCCAAUGCCAGUUCUCAGUAGCCCUGGCUGCCAUUGUCGCUGCAGAAUAAACAGUGUCUGCAUUGUGGAGAAAAUGGGGCUUCCUCUCCUGCCCCAUCUGUUAUUCUGUCUCUGCAUUUCCCUUUCCUGCAACCAUUAGCAUGUGGUUAGGAGGAGCUGGGUCUUAGGACACAUUAAUGGACUCAUUUGGAAUCUGCUGGAAUUAAAUUGCCUUUCUUUGGCUAUUAGCAAGGCCAGCCUAAGAGAUGCAUCUGAGGCUGAAAACACCACAAACACCUCUCCCUCUUCCCCGACAGUAAAAAUGCAAUAAUCAUAAAUUAAAUAGAUAGCAGUUGGCUACAUUUUUAUGAGACCAAACAUCAGCUGCCUGGACUGGCUGCCUCACUCUACUGGCUGGUAGGGCUGUCUCUGUGAUAUGGGUAGAACAAUUUCUGCAAAGGAUUACUUUGGUUUAAAAGUAAUUCAACAUUCAUUCCCAAAGGCUUGUGCCCGACAGCAAUGCUCUGAGCUUCUGCAAAUGCCCAGUGCAUCCUAAGGAAAGAAUAAGCAUUUUCUUUUACCUUUUGAACUUUUGCGAUGCAAAAUUGCACACCUUUCCCUAGAUAAUUAGGGCAUCACGACAUGCUUUGAUGGCAGAGUACAUUUUCUGCCUCUUGUUGAAUGCUAUCCUACCCAGCUUUGUUGCUUAAAGCCAUUUUCCAAUUAGUAUAAAUGAUGUGCCCAUUGGUUUAAAAGCACAGCUAAUGGAAAAUGCACUACAGAUAUUAAAAAUAUUAUUCUGUCAGUUGAAUUAACUAGUAUAUGUAUUAACACAUUUACUUGGGUUGGGUUUUGCUAUUUCUAUUUCUGAGCCCAAUUUUUGUGGCGGGGGGAGGGACUGUUGUAGUUAUCAAAAUGCUGAAUGAAGGUUGUUGGUUUAAAGACAAGUGUAUUUCAGGAACAUCUGCAAGUAAUCACUGGUAACCCAAAAUAAUUAAAAGAGGUAACUACAAAAUGGUUGGAGUAAACCUAAUCAGAACAAAUUUAGCCAGGUUUAAAAAUUAUUCUAGUUUAAUAGUGGAUAAGUAUGGAAAUUUCUUUCUAAGUCGCUCGUGUUCACCCUGCCCCUUUAUUUUAUCUGGGGAAAGCAUGCAUGAAACAUGUAUGAUCAGUGCAAAUGAAGUGAUUGUGUUCUUGAAAUAUACUCAGAGUCGAGAGUGGAUUUCAUGCUCUUUAUUCAGCUCAUAGGGGUGAGGAGGAAUAGAAGUUCCCCCAGAAUGUCUGCUUUAUAUACGUUAUUUACACAAGGGGCCCCAUGUGAUUGGCUAAUUCCGGGAUUCUCCUGUAGGCCAAUCAGCUUGCGGAUUCACUUCCACCUGGAGCUGGAUUGGGUAGCUCCUGUGGACCAAUCAGACUGCUGCAUUCUGAAUCCUAUUGUUCUAGGACCAACCAGACUGCUGCAUUUAGGAUCCUAUUCAACUCAGUACAUAACAGUUCUCUUUACUAGAACUGCUUGUCCAAUAAAGCAUAACAAAACAUUGAUGCAGAGAUGCCAACAACUUUCUUUGCCACAUUCUUUUUCAUUAUGGAACUCUCAGGAAUCUCCAGUGCAGUCACUAACCAGCCUCUAGCUUUAGCAAGGUUGUUGCACUACACACUGUGGGAUUAUUUUUGUUACCCUUAGAAGUCAAACAGGAUUUUUCAAGGCACCACUAGAGGCAGAGAGAGAAGACCUGACUUGAGUGUGCCACACAUUUCUUUCAGAGAGUGCUCAACUGAGAGUGCUCCGCCCACAUGGAAAUCACAAAUUCUUACUUAGAAUCAUAGAAUUGUUGAACAGGACCUCAGUGGUAAUCUAGUCCAAUCACCUCACCCUCCACUUGUAUUUCUCUACUUAAAUUCCCUCCACCAUAAGUGGCUAAACUUUUUCUUUUAAGAUGCUGUUAUACAUGCUGUAAUGUAUUGUGUAGUUUGUUUUGAAUGGAGGCAUUGACCAACUCCGACACAGAACAGCACUGACCAGGUGGCUGGGUGGAAGGAGGCAAAACCUAGGGAUGGUGCUGCUGGCUUUUAUGCCUUGCUGGCCAUGAGGGCAUGCGUACAGCCAAUGUCCUCUUGGCCUGUGACACACACACACACACACACACACGGAGAAGCCACUGAUUGGCCCAUUUGAGAUGCAGAAGCCGGCGGGAACUUGAGUCAGAUUUCCAGGCAGCCACGGGAAUUCUCCUAAUAGCUGCCUGGCCAUGUGCGCUCCAUUUUCACUGCCCAGAGAUGGCUGCUGAAUGUGAGAGGCCACAAUAGGCGCCCACCCAGGAAGGGGUAAGUGUCCAUUUUGGGGUAUCGGUGCUACUUUGCGCCUGAAUAUUUACCUCAGUGGUGCAAACAAAAAUGAUGGUCACAAUAACGCAUCUUGUUUCAAUUUCUAAGCAAAGGAAAUGAUUAAAAUGGGAAUAUAUCUGCAUUCUUAGAUCUAGUUGGAUGGGGCUACUUGACACAAGGCUUCAGUUUCUGAUUGGAACACGGGCGUAAAAGCUUACGAACACACGCGUACAUAUGUAAUUGUGUUGUGUGUGUGUGUAUGUAUAAAUUUUCCCUUGACGCUUGUUAUUACCUAUAAAGUGUUGUAAUUAUCAGAUUGCAGAAAACUGUUAUUCAUUAUUUAUUAACAUUGAUUCUUUACAUAAAAGUCACUCAAUUCAUAACCACAGAUUACCUCAGAAAAUGCUGUUUACUGCAGUUCUUCUGUGUUAAGGAAAUGAAGUACUUAAUUAUUAAAGAAUUGUACUGGUGUUUUCUGUUAAUAAAUUCUGAAGGAGGCAUGAAAUAGAGAAGAGAAUUAGCCACAGAGUAAAAACCCACAAACGUUUAGGCUGCUAAUACUGAUUUGGCAGGCCAAAGGAAACUGGCCCCUUGAACCAGUGCUCUCUAUAAGCUUUAAAAUAAACAAUGUUUGCCUUUGAACUCUUUUCACUGAUGUGUGACUCAAGAAAGAUUCAAAUAAGUAUGGAAAUGAUUAGAAGGACCCAAAAUGUUUUGGAAGAACCCAAAGUGUGUUGUGAAUACAAGUCUACUUUAUACAGCAGUUUCUGAGGCUGAGUUCUUCCAAGUAGCACAUGGGGAGGGAAAUCUGUUUCUGGACUGUAAUAAUAAUAAUACCGUAUUUUUCGCUCCAUAGGACGCACUUUUUCCCCUCCAAAAAUGAAGGGGAAAUGUGUGUGCGUCCUAUGGAGCGAUUGCAGGCUUCGCUGACGCCUGGAGAGCGAGAGGCAUCGGUGCGCACCGACCCCUCUCGCUCUCCAGGCUUCAGGAAGCUAUCCGCAAGCCUUGCAAGCCCGGUGGGAGUUCCCGCGGGCUCACAAGGCUUGCAGGCAGCAGCCUGCAGCCCCGGCGAGUGUCCGCAAGCCUUGCGCGCCCGGCAGGAGGUCCCGCCCGGCGCGCGAGGCUUGGGGCUGCAGCUUGUCGCCCGAAGCACGGGAGCCCUCCGGAGGGCUCCCCGUGCUUCGGGCGAGUGUCUGCAAGCCUUGCGCGCCCGGCAGGAGGUCCCGCCCGGCGCGCGAGGCUUGGGGCUGCAGCUUGUCGCCCGAAGCACGGGGAGCCCUCCGGAGGGCUCCCGUGCUUGGGCGAGUGUCCGCAGCCUUGCGCGCCCGGCAGGAGGUCCCGCCCGGCGCGCGAGGCUUGGGGCUGCAGCAGUCGCCCGAAGCACGGGAGCCCUCCGGAGGGCUCCCGUGCUCGGGCGAGUGUCCGCAAGCGGUGCGCACCCGGCAGGAGGUCCCACCGAGUGUGCGAGGCUCGGGGCGGCAGCCUGUCGCCCGAAAGCCUUGCGCGCCCGGCAGGAGGUCCCGCCCGCGCGCAAGGCUUGGGGCUGCAGCAUGUCGCCCGAAGCACGGGAGCCCUCCGGAGGGCUCCCGUGCUUCGGGCGAGUGUCUGCAAGCCUUGCGCGCCCGGCAGGAGGUCCCGCCGAGCGCGCAAGGCUUGAGGCGGCAGCCGCGGCGGGGGGGGGAUUUUUUUUAUUCAAUUACCCCCCCCAAAAACGAGGUGCGUCCUAUGGACCGGUGCGUCCUAUAGAACGAAAAAUACGGUAAUAAUAAUAAUAAUAAUAAUAAUAAUAAUAAUAAUAAUAAUAAAUUUUAUUUAUAUCCCGCCCUCCCCAGCCGAAGCCGGGCUCAGGGCGGCUAACAACAAUAAAACAGUACAAAAGUACAGCACAAACAACACUCUAAAAUCAUUCAUUAUAAAAUUAAUUAAUUCAAGCCACUGGCAACCAUUGGGCCAGAGCUCCGCGAAGAUUGCCGAGGGAGGGAGUCAGGCUGUGCCCUGGCCAAAGGCCUGGUGGAACAGCUCUGUCUUGCAGGCCCUGCGGAAAGAUGUCAAGUCCCGCAGGGCCCUGGUCUCUUGUGACAGAGUGUUCCACCAGAUUGGAGCCACAGCCGAAAAAGCCCUGGCUCUAGUUGAGGCCAGCCUAACCUCUCUGAGGCCUGGGACCUUCAGGAUGUUUUUAUUUGCAGACCGUAGGUUCCUCUGUGGGGCAUACCAGGAGAGGCGGUCCCGUAGGUACGAGGGUCCUAGGCCGUAUAGGGCUUUAAAGGUUAAAACCAGCACCUUAAACCUGAUCCUGUACUCCACCGGGAGCCAGUGCAGCUGGUAUAGCACCGGGUGAAUGUGAUCUCGCAGCGAAGACCCCGUAAGGAGUCUCGCUGCAGCAUUCUGCACCCGCUGGAGUUUCUGGGUCAGUCUCAAGGGCAGCCCCACGUAGAGCGAGUUACAAUAAUCCAGUCUGGAGGUGACCGUCGCAUGGAUCACAGUGGCUAGGUCAGGGCGAGAGAGGUAAGGAGUCAACUGCUUAGCUUGGCGGAGAUGUACCACUUCUGAGUGUGAGCGAGUCAAACAAGACGGUGCAAUCUACUCAGAAGUCAACUCCCUUACUUUCAAUGAGAUUUACUACUGUGUAGAGGGAUGUAAGGAGGGAGCAGUUUGUGUCCCUUACUGUGAUUGUUGCAAACAGCACUGUUACCACUCUACUAUAGUUUAGCAUUUGCUAAAACCUAUGUUAGUCAUCUCAUUACCUGCUAAGAUUGAAAUUAACUUAAUUGUGUCAUUAAUUUCAGUGCAUUUCAGUGGAAAGGAACCCUCAAAAACAAUGCAGAAAAUGAUAACCACUUGUAUAAUAUUUGUAGAUUUAAAAACCAACAAAAGUAUGGUUACCAGAUGUCCCCGUUUCCCAGGGACAGUCCCCAGAUUUACAAAUCAGUUCCCAGACAAAAUCCGUCCCCAGAAUGUCCCCGGUUUUCAUUUAAUGUUCCUGGAUUUAUAUUUUAGGUGUUAUAGAUUUAUUAGUAGGGAAUGAAUGUUGGUUGAUAGGUUCAAUGGCACAAGACACAUCAUAUGGGGACUUCUGGUGAGGCAAAAUGGCGGGCACCAUGGCAGCGAGCAGCUCCUGAAGCCAGCCAGAGCCAACUGCGCUACCAGGCUGGCUCCGGGCUGCUGAGAUUUCCACUGCUGCUGCCACUGCUGAGGGGGAACCAGGGACGCCCAGUGCGUCAACUGGGGGAACCGCUGACACACACAUCCCAUGACCCAAAUCGAGCUGGGAGCAAGAGUGCUCGGCUACCCGGCCAACUGCCCAGCGGCUCUCUGGGGCCAGGAAAACCCUGGAGCCGAUGCAGGGAGAAAGGGGAGAGGAGAAGGAGAAGGAAGAGAGAGAAAGAGGAAGAAGAAAAAAGAGGGGAGCCCAGACCUUGCUGUGCCACUGCCGUCGCCGCUGAGGAGAAGUAGGAAAGCACUGGGAGGGCAAGGACACGUGGCAGAGCCCAGGCCUGACCCAAACCUACUCCACAGCGGCUAGCACUCCAAGAGAGCAAGCCGGGGCCCAGAGGAAGGCCAUGCGAGAGAGGAGACCACAGAAGAGAAUAUAUUACUUCUUCUUCUUCUUCUUCUUCUUCUUCUUCUUCUUCUUCUUCUUUUUAAAAAAAACUUUUUAAAAUAACUUUUCCCCCCUCUUUUCAAAAAAAAAAAAGGGUCCCCGGAUACUUUGAAAAAAAUCUGAUAACCUUAAACAAAAGUCAAUACCGCCUGUGCAAUUUCCAUUUCUGACCUCAGAAGAAACAUGCAGAUUGCUCCAAUUUCCACUUCCAUUUCUGUUUCUGAUGAAAUUCUCAGACAUCCCUACUCCCAAGUAAGUGGCUGUAAGAUUGCUGUCCGAAUGCUCCUUUGUACGAAAGAAAGUUUCCUGGGCCUAGAAAACGAGGUGUUGGGGAGAAUUCUAGACUAGCUUUUCCCCAACACACAAAUUUUCAGGGGUCAGGAAUGAGGAGGGAGGGCUAUAGAAGAAGAUGCACUCAUGUACUUGGAGCCUAAAGUGAUACAAACCAGAAUAAAUUCAGCACAGACUGCAAGUUUGGUCAGAAAUGUGAAGGUUUUUCAAAAUGAUCUUCAAUGACCAGUGUAUGAAUAUGUAUUCUCUGCAGGAAGGUAAAUGGUUUACAGGGUGAGGGGCAGUGGGAGGGGUUGACUGAAAGGCAAUAAUGAAGAAGUUUCUUUUUCUGGCCAUCAACUUGCAUAUUGCCGAUUUUGUAGCAUGAAUGUGCACCAUAUUCUUAUCAUAGUCUUGCAAAGCUGGCUUGCAAAUAAAGUGAAGAAAAUUGCAACAGCAGAAGCAAAUGCUCUUUCUGUGGUUUUUCUGUCAUCGUCCAUUUCCCCAGUCAUUUGCAAAGUGAGCAAAGGAUGCCCUUUCCUCACACCAUUACACAGUGCUAUCAGUCUUCACUACUGCAUUGUCUACAUUUGUGGAAGCUUAGGGCAAAUUGCAUAGCAAUUGAGAUGAACAUUAUAAUAAACCUUCACUUAUAAAACAGCUUUUCUGGGAAUUGAUUUAUUUAUCCCAACUCUAUAUAUGGGCAAAUUUGUGGAUCAGCUGUUCUUACUGAUUUUCCUCUGAUAACAAUAAUACUAAGGCUGCAUUCCUAUGGGAAUUUGCUUGAGUUUAUCCUUUAUUUCUGGGGUUUAUUUCUGAAUAAGGAGACAUGUGAUUCGGCUGCAUAGCUCUCUUAGAUCAGAUCAGAUCAAAUCAACUCAGACAAAAGAAAGAUUAUUUAAACUUUGGUAGAAUGUUGAAGCGUGACAAGCUCUUUCAUGCAUAAAUAGAAUUAAGGCAUGAGCCAGUAGGAAGUUCUUUUAUACAAGCUGCACCACGGGAGUGGUGCAAGAAUGCACAUUCAUUUAAAUGGUUCUUGGGCACGAGAACUCUGCCACUGCUUAGACUUUCCUCACCAAAACUAAUACCAUACAUUUAGCACACAUGAUUUUUCCUCAAAUAGUCAGAGAACCGUAAUUUAUUGAGAAUGCUGAGAAUCAUAGGUGCCAACUACCUGGGGCUCUGGGUGCCUGAGCACCCACAAAAUUCCCCAUGAAGGGGCCAGGCAGCCACAAAUUUCAGUGCCAGUACCAUGCAUGCUGCGUGACACCCACGGCCCCAGGCACCCACAGUCAUGGGGCCAAGUUGGUACUCCUGCUGAGAAUUAUAGCACUGUUGAUGGGUAAACUAUAGAUUCCAUGAUUCUUUAGGGGUAAGUUAUGUGUUUUAAAGGUGCUUCAGAUUAGCUACUGUGUGUGUGUACAAAUUGUAGAACACCCUGUUUUUAAAAAAAUAUAAGAUCACUUCCCGGGGGUGGGGGGGGUGGGAAUCAUGACUUACAGAGGAGGGGGAAAACAUAUUUGUGACUUUCUCUUAGUACAUUCUGAUCAAUAACAAAGGCAUCUGAGGGUCUUGUAGUCCAGAAAAAGAUUUGCCAUGCAGCUGCAGAAAAUACCACCCAGAGACUAAUGGAGUGUCAGAGAGUUUAAUUAGAUACUGAGGUAGGAGUUAUAGGCAUCAUUAUGUACAACAGCACAGCCUGCAACUUAGAAAAUCCUCAUAUUGUUAAAGAGUUGGUUAAUAUUGAACAAGCACUUCUGUGUUUCCUCUGCUAAAGAAACCAGAUCAUUGUUUUCGUGCAAUUGGAAGGGCAACAUUCAUUUAUAUCUAGUAGGAAAGACUGUAUCUUGCUGAAGCUCAGCCAGAUUUCAAACCCUUUGGCCCCAUUCCAAUUCUUAAAUCCCACUGAAAUCAUUACUUAUGAGUCAUGACUAAUUGGGCUUAAGUGCAACUAAUCUAAAUUGGAUUGGGGCCAUUGGCUUGAAUCCUAAUGUUUAGCUAUGUGAAUAGAAAGAAAUUCUGUUCAUGGAAGAAAUGUUGCACUUAUGGAAAGACACCUUCCAUUUGUCUCUUUUUCUGUUCAUGGAGGAAAAAGUUAGAAUCCAAGCUGUCGAGGGAACCCAGGUUGGGGCUAAAAGGUGGUGUGUAAUAAAAAUAAAACAAUAAGUAUAUAGGAGCAUAAACAAGAAUCAGUGGAAACAAUGGCAGCAGUUCAACUGAAGUUAGUUGCACUUAACGCCCAAUUUAUUGUGAUGAAGUAUUUCAGCAGAAGUUAAUAUCUGAAUUAAGGCCAGUAGGUUUGAAAUCUAGUUCAAGUUCGGCAAGCUAUCUGGAGAAAGGUCUUUCCUACAUUGUAUAGGUAAAAGGUACCUUUCCAAUUUCAUGAAAUGAUCUGAUCUCUGGACUUUCUUUAGCAGAGGUAAAAAAAGUUUUUUAAAAACAAAACCUUAUACAACAGCAAAGGCACUCCAUAAAACAGCAGAAAUGAACAUUUUCCAUUUACAGAUGGAAGAGGAAUCAAUUUUAAAUGGAUUUAUAUAUGGCAAAUGAGAGCUUUGUUCCCAUCAGACCACCUCUCACAUUGAGUACCUGCUUACGUCUGAGCCACUCAUGCAGUGUCAGGGAUUUUGUUUUAAAGCCCAAAUAAUUAUAUACAAACAAUACAUAUCUGUGCAAUACAUAUAAAAGAGUCAAGCCCUAUGUUGUACCAUAUUUCUGUAGCAUCAAUAUAUAUUAAUACAUACAUAUUUUAUACACUUAAAUGCAUUACUAUGCAUCUCUUUGUGUGCUGGUUACUUUAGCAAACCUGGAAUAUAUGUAUUUAUAAUAUACAUUUAAUAUUAUAAGUAUAAUGUAUUUAAUAUAAGAGAAUUGUACACUUUCUUAGCGUAUUUAAAGUGGCAGGGAAUUUUUUAAAAAAAUCAUACAGCUAGGCUGCUAUGGGUGAAUGAUUCAACCAGCAUGUUGCUGUGCUCCCUGGUUAGCUGCUCUGCUGUACACUUCUUUCAUGUUUAAAAAAUCCUGCAUAUAGUGAUCUAGCACUUUAGGAAUAAAUGCUCUCUUCCUGCACCCAAAUUUUCUAUGGAGGUGUUUUUUUUUUGUGGUGGGAUGUUCAAACAUGCAGUCCCCUCAAGUGAUACUUGCCAAGCAAGACUGUGCUGUGACAAUUCUGAAAGUAUUCUCAGGACAUGUCACUUACCAUUCGAGUGGCCUUUUAAAACUCUUCCAUACCCUCCAGCAUUUCUCCAAUGAAAAUAGGGACGUCCUAUUCUAUUAUUUAUUAUUAUUAUUAUUAUUAUUAUUACCCCACCCAUCUGACUGGGUUGCCCCAGACACUCUUGCCAUCUUCCAACAUACAUAAAAACAUAAUAAAACAUUAAACAUUUAAAAACUCCCCUAUACAGGGCUGCCUUCAGAUGUCUUCUAAAGGUUGUGCUGUACAGUGGUACCUCGGGUUACAUACACUUCAGGUUACAGACUCCGCCAACCCAGAAAUAGUGCUUCAGGUUAAGAACUUUGCUUCAGGAUGAGAACAGAAAUCGUGCAGCAGCGGUGCAGCAGCAGCAGGAGGCCCCAUUAGCCAAAGUGAUGCUUCAGGUUAAGAACAGUUUCAGGUUAAGUACGAACCUCAGGAAUGAAUUAAGUACUUAACCUGAGGUAGCACUGCAUAGUUAUCUCCUUGGCUUGUGGGUCAUAUAACUCCGUACUCGCCAACAUUUCUCCAAUGAAAGUAGGGAUGUCCUAAGAAAAAGCAGGAUAUUCCAGGAUCAAAUCAGAAACCAGGACAGCUUCUGUAAAUCCAGGACAGUCCUUGGAAUAUAGUGACAAGUGGAGGCUCUGCUCUUCCUUCCAGAUCCUCGAGCCUCUUUAUCUGUCAGAAGUCACACUUUGGAUUCAGGAGUAAUCAUGUACAGACCCAGUAAUUAAUAAUGUCCUGAAUUCAGUUUUGCAAACUGAAAUGAAGCACUGUGUAUGAAUGAUUGUUACUAAACAUGGAAGUAAUAUUUUAUUAAUCAACAUUAAUGUUUCAGCUCUUAUGGACCAACUAAAUUUGGAAUUAAAUGGCAUUUCCAUGAAAAAGAAAUAUCUGUGCGGUUGGAGUAUGCAUUCUUAGUAGGAAGUUUAAGAGAGUUGCUUCUGUCCUGUUAGACAAUUGGAAAUAAAUAUUUCCAUGUGAUUUAUGUAACUAAACAACACAUUCUGGGCAGCAUCAAGCUAGAGAAUAAACAGUUUACAUUAACAUUUGAAUAAUGAAUUAAUCUGACAAAAUCAAUGUUUGUGGACAUUCUGGGAAGAAAGAGAGGCGAUUAAAUUAAUCCUAUAAAUUUUUCAUGAUGAAAUAUACUCAGCAUUAUGACGUUCAGUAUUUGCUGGGUUUCUGAGUAGUAGAACCAAAAUAUUGACCUAAGCAUGCAUGGCUGGGAAACUCAUAAAUAGUAGCAGCUCAAGAAGGAAUUAAAUGAGAGAAAGUGAAAGAAGAAAUAGUGCACAGUUUAAAAAUGGAACUUGAAUCAAGUGGAUGUUGAAUCUCAAUCCUUCACUGCCUCUGAUGCACAUUUAAAAUUUCACAGAGGCUAGAAAGUAAAUGGAGAAAUUUGCUUUUGAUGCAAGAUCUUUCCUGAACAAGAGUACAAUACAAGCCUUUCUAUUUUGUUCUAACCCCCUCUCUCUGUUUAUAGUGGUUCAUCAGGGCUUUUAUCCAUAGCGCUAAUCCAGUUUUGCAACCCGGUUCAUAAAACCACACACCCUGUUAAAUGCUAGUUCAGUUAUUAGUCUUGUCUCUCCAUGCUUCAAGCAGGUUAUUUUGACUCGGAAAAAAACAUCCUGCAAAUUAUAUAUAUAUAUAUAUAUAUAUAUAUAUAUAUAUAUAUAUAUAUAAUUUUCAAGUUACCCCACUGCUGCUGGGAAUGAAGGUUAGACUGAAAAUUGUCAGUAGUUGCUCUCCAUAGCAAGCUAUCCCCUAAUUCAAACUAAAGCAUAUUGCAGGUCAGGGUUUUUUUCACAGCUCAUCUCAGAAAUGAAAAAGGUUCCUUCAAGGAACUUCCUUGUAACAAUAUAAUUUUAAAAUUGCCACUGCUGCUCCCUCUGCUGUAAGGGGGAUGCUGACAAAGAUGCUUAGAAAGUUGAGGUAAUUUUAUCUGUUUCAGUGUUUUAGCUUUUGGAUGUUGCAAAUUUUUCUUGAUUUUACUGUUUAAUCUUUUAUAAACCACUGAGUUGUUUUUUGUUUUGUUUUUUACAAUCAAGCCGUGAAAUAAAUAAUAAAUAAAUAAAAUUUUCUCCCAUAGGCCCCCUCUGACAUCAGAAUCCUACCCCCACCUGAUGGGGGGGGCGGUUUACAGCUGUAGCACCACCACAGUCUUACACACAGGAGAUUGCAAGCCACCCAAAAUCACUUUGUGGGCAAUAUUAAACUGGCAGCUUCCCACUUGCCUGCCGCUGCUGCCUAAUAAAGGCAGAGUUCUGGACAAAGGGUAGGAGGAUGAGUCCACUCCAGGGGUCGUGCUGGUGGAUAGGGCCCAUGGCCUUGUCAAAUCCCAGAGGAUGCCAGUGUAUUAUUGCUGUACCAGCUGUCUGCUCUUAUAUAUUGUUUUUGUCCUGCCAUAUGAUUCGCAACACUUUGCAAAGUUUCUGAUUUGGAAUACACUUUGAACUCCUGCACAGCAACAAACCAUUUCAAUAUGGAUUUUCUUUCGUCUAAUCUUACUUUUCCACUGAAACAGAUUGCUUCUUUGAUUUAAGUAAAAACAUUGGACUAAACUUAUCUGUUUUAUUUGGAUAGCUUUCCCUAGUACAUUUUCCUAUUUUAUUUCCCCUGGAGAAUUAAAUCUGAUAAAGAUAGCUAUAGGUAUAGGCAUCCAUAAUUAUUUUCUACUUGUGGCUGAAAACUGAGAAACAGAUUCCUAGGCUGCAACCCUAUGCACGUCUACAAGUCCCACUGAGCACAGGUGUACUCAGUACUAUUUUUAUAGAAAAAAAGGUGCUGGAACUCAUCGUGAACAUCUCCCUUGUUCUCUUAUAAUGGCAUUGGCACCUGCCUGAGAGGUGCUGGAAUUCAGUUCCGCAGAGUUCCCACGAAAAGAAAAGUCUUGGGUGUACUUAAUUCUGAAUAAGCAUGUAUAGGAUUGCAUAGGGAUGGAAGGGCUUACGGAAGGGACCAAUUCUCAUUUUCUCAAUCUUAAAUUCAGUUUGGGUGGACUUGAAGUUGUUGGCUUUCGAUAUUCAAGAGUUCCAUCUCCUGAUCAGUACAGACAAUUCGUGAAGACCUACGUGACCAGACAGGGUCUCUGCUAAAAGGCUCUGGCUGAUUCAAAUGGGCCUAUCAGGCGAGGUUUUAGAUGCUUUCAGACCCUCCAAGUGUCCAUAUUUUCCAGGGCUAUCCUGGUUUCUGAUUUGAUCCUGGAAUGUCCCACUUUUCCUUAAGAUGUCCCUAUUUUCAUUGGAGAAAUGUUGGAGGGUACGUAGUUAUCCGACCCCUGAACCAUCUGAAUGAAAUCCUGUAUAGGGAAGGGUAUUUAAAAAAAAGAGUUUAAUGUUUUAUUAUGUUUUUAUGUAUGUUAGAGGCUGCCCAGAGUGGCUGGGGCAACCCAGUAAGAUGUGUGGGGUAUAAAUCGUAAAAUUAUCAUUAUGGAAUGGGACGUCCCUAUUUUCAUCAGAUAAAUGUUGGAGGGUAUGCACUUUGCUUCCCUCAAAGUGGGCUUCUGCCAACUUGGUACACAACAUCACUUGGUGGAGUUACUUUUUUAAAAAGUUAAUGACAUCCAUGGGGUUUUCUCCAAGAGAGGUGAAUAGGAGAAUGAGUUGCAGCACCAUUAAAAUACCAGCUGCCAUUUUAAGCAGUAUUCUAGAUAGCUUGGGUGGCUCAAAUUUGUCUCCCACAUUGUCUCUUCAUGAAAGGUGUGCCCUUGGCUUCUAUCCAGGUGCUGCACAUUUCUCUCUUUUUUAAAAAUGAUAUUUAUUGAGAUUUCAAAAACAAAAAAUUACAUAAAAGACAAUGAAAAAUAUAGAGAAAAAAGAGAAAAAACAUACAAAAUGCAAAGUAUAUAUAAAAAAAAGUAUAGAAAGAACACUUAGAAACAAAUUUAUCCUUUCGUAUCUUACAUUUCAUUUCCUUGCUUUCCUGACCUCCUCUCACCUCCCUUUUUUGUAUUCCGGUUCAAUUGGUUAAUUCAGCAAUUCCUUUCCCUCUUUGUUUUUGUCUUAGUCCUUUAACUUAAUAUAUUAUAGCUUUAAAUUCUCACCUAUUAACCAAUCAUUUUUUCAUACACCUUUAUGACAUUGCUGCUAGAACCACUUAAUUUCAUUCUGACAUCAUUCUAACAUUCAUUAAUUUUACAAUUUUUCUGUAAAUAGUAUUUAAAUUUCUUCCAAUCUUCUUCCACCGACUCUUCACCCUGGUCUCGGAUUCUGCCCGUCAUUUCCACCAAUUCCAUGUAGUCCAUCACCUUCAUCUGCCAUUCUUCCAGAGUGGGUAGAUCUUGUGUCUUCCAAUACUUUGCAAUAAGUAUUCUUGCUGCUGUUGUAGCAUACAUAAAGAAAGUUCUGUCCUUCUUUGGCACCAUUUGGCUGACCAUGCCCAGGAGAAAGGCCUCUGGUUUCUUCAGAAAGGUAUAUUUAAAUACCCUUUUCAUUUCAUUAUAAAUCAUCUCCCAGAAAGCCUUAAUCCUUGGGCACGUCCACCAAAGGUGAAAGAAUGUACCUUCAGUUUCUUUACAUUUCCAACAUUUAUUGUCGGGCAAAUGAUAGAUUUUUGCAAGCUUGACUGGUGUCAUGUACCACCUGUAUAUCAUUUUCAUAAUAUUCUCUCUUAAGGCAUUACAUGCCGUGGUUCCUGUUCUGUAGGUGGUAUCACCUUCUCCAGGCGGUCUCUUAAUUCAAAAGGUAGUUUUGGUAUGUCUAAAGUUCCUCUUUCUAGUAUUCCUGGCUCUUCUCCAGCUUCUUUCUGCAGGUCUUCACCGUGGUCUCUCAAAAAUCUUGCUUUGUCGUCCUCUGAUCUUAUUUUUAUCUUUCUUCCUUUGAAGCUAAAAGAAAGGCCUUGGGGACUUCCCACCUAAAGAUGAUUUUGUUGUUUCUCAGCAGGGCAACCAAAUCUCUAUAAUUGGACCUAAGGUCUAGAAGAUAUUUCGGAAUGUCCUUAAAUAUCUCCACUUUUGACUGAUGUAUUACCAAAGUCUUCUGGAAGUGCAGACUCAAGAUUUUAUCUCUCUCCUCUUUUGUUCGGAGGGUGAUCAAACAGUCUCUCACCCUGUUCUUCUUCCCUCCUCUUCCAAGCCUAAAAGCACUCACUAUCUUGAAGUUAUCCUUCUCCAAAUCUGGGUUCCAAAAGUCUGCAAGUUCCUGCGUAAGAAAAUCAAUCAAGUUGUCUUUCUCAAGUUCAGGUACAGCCCUGAUUCUUAAAUUCGUUUGCUUCUCUUUCAAUUCAAUCAUAGACAGUAUUGACCUAUGGUCUUCCAAUUGCUUGUGUAUCGGUGGUAACUUCUCUUCUACAGCAACUGCUAUUUCCUUUGCUUCUUCAGCUGUCUUUCGGGUCAAAGUAGAUUCCUGUAGUAAUUUCUCAAUAGUUUCUGUGUUAGUAUUUACCUUCUGUCCCAAAUUGUUAAUGCUUGUGGUAUUUUGAUCAAUUUUAUUUGAUGCUUCAGCUACUUGUUUACUUAAUUUUUCCAAAGAUUCAUUAAUUUUGCCAAGUGCCUGAGCUAAAACAUCUUCGGAUGCCAUUCCUUUGGGUUUAGAUUGUGCCAAUGCAGCUCCUGUUGGUAAACCAGGAGGGCCAGAUGUUGAAGCUCUUCGCUGCAGCCCAACAUCUGUGUGUAACACUCUACCAGACCUCGUUGCUUUUUCCUGAAGCAAAUCUAUCUUCUCUUUUCCAUUUGCCAUAACAGUCUAGAUAAUACUCAAGGUCAGUCCCACGAUCAGAGUUUGUUAUGAAGUGGAAAAUUCCCCUGGCCCAGUUGUUAUUGUAGCAAUCUCAAGCUUCCUCUAGGGGGACACAAUAACAGGCAACAGUUGUUACUUUAAAAUAAAUGUCCUUUUUCUUUUAAUCCCCCAGCUCACAAAAUAGACAACAGUUUUAAAUUCAGUUAUUUUCCAGUUACUUUGAAACCAGGGGAAACCAGCCAGAAAUAUUGUAUCUCACUUGUAUCAGACUUGCGGAGUUAGCUGUCAAAAAGUACUUUCACCAACAGCGCAUUUCACAGUACGGCAUUCUAUUUUUCAUUGGCAGUCCGUUCCCAGGUUUAAGCGGUGGAUUCUUAGCUUCCUUUUCUCUCUUUUUACAGGAAAAUACAGUUCAAACCUUUCCCCCCUCCUCUCCUGCAAUCAAGGGGGGAAAUCGCUUGUUUUAGAUGAUAGAAUUAUAGUCUUUUUCAAGCGUCUUUCAAGGUUUUAGCUUACAAGUUCAUUGCUUUCCUCUAUUUACAAAGAACGGAAGGCAGACUUCCUGUUUAUGCCUCUCCGCUUCGGUAUCCAAUUACUUCUUUUUUCUCUCUCCUUUAUUUCCCGAAUUAACCUACUCACGGAUUGUUGUUUUGUAGUCCAAUUGUCACAGGAAAAAGGUAGCACUCUCCGGUAACGGCUAUGCGGCUUCGCUCCAUGGAAGAAGCAGUUGACUCACAGCACCGCGCCGCUUCCCCGCUUCAUUCCGGAACCCGUAAUCGGGCUCCUUUGCAAGUUGGGGGGGGCGCAAAAGGUGCCCGCCGAGUCCCACGGUCACAGGCUUCACCCGCCUGUGAUUUUUGAAGGGUCCCCACUUCACCGUAGCGGUGCAGACCCGAUUCCCGCAGAGCCAGUCCCCUCCGAGUCAGAGGGAAUCCGCCAUUACCGAUGGCGCCACCCUGGAAGUCAGGUGCUGCACAUUUCUCAGAUGGAUCUUGAAUUGGGUCCUCACCACACUCUGCUUGCAUUUGAGUGGGAAUUUCUCCUAAUAAAUACAGGAUAUGCUCAACUCUUUCCCACUGAAAUAACUGUGAUUUAAAGGCGAUAAACUUUGGCUGAAUCAGGCCCAAGUGUCUUUAAAUACUAAGAACAAAGGAUUGUAUUCACAGAAUAGUAAAAUUGUAGAGUUGGAAGGGACCCUGAUGAUCAUCUAGUCCAACCCCCUGCAAUGCAGGAAUCUCAGCUAAUGCAUCCAUGACAGAUGGCCAUCUGACCUCAGUUUAAAAAUCUCCAAGGGUGGAGAGUCCACCACCUCCAAGGAAGUAUGUUCCACUGUUGAACAGCUCUUACUGUCAGAAAGUUUUUCCUGAUGUUUAUUUGGACUCUCAGUCUCCUCUUAUCCCGGGGCUAUACAUACCCAGCUCCCUCAGCUGUUCCUCAUAAGGCUUGAUCCUUGAUCAUCUUGGUCACCUUCUUCUGCACACAUUCCUGCUUGUCAAUAUCCUUCUUAAAGUGUGGUCCCCAGAACUGGACACAGUACUCCAGGUGUGGCCUGACCAAGGUAGAAUAGAGUUGGACAACAACAAAUUACUUCCUUAGAUCUGGACACUAUACUUCAGUUGAUGCACCCUAGAAUAACAUUAGCUCCCCCCCCCCCCGCUGCAUCACACUGUUGACUCGUGUUAAGCUUGUGGUCUACUGAGAUCCCUCAAUCAUUUUCACAUUUACUACUGUCGAGUCAGAUGUCCCCCAUCUUAUAUUUCUGCAGCUGGUUCUUUCUACCUAAGUGUAGAACCUGCUAUUUGUCCUUAUUGAAUUCAUUAUGUUAGUUUGUGCCCAAUUCUCCAAUCUGUUAAGGUCAUCUUGAAUCCUGAUUCUGUCUUCGGCAUUAUCUACCACUCCCAACUUGGUGUGAUCUGCAUAUUUGAUGAGCAUCCUCUCAAUUUCUUCAUCCAAGAUGUUUAUAAAGAUGUUGAACAACAACAGGCCAAGGACAGAACUUUGUGGUACCCCAUUUGUCACUUUUUUCCAGGGUGACCAAGAACCAUUAGUGAGCACUCUUUUGGUUCAGUCGGUUAACCAACUACAAAUCCCCCUGUUAUCUCAUCCAACCCACAUAUUACCAGCUUCUCUGCAAGCAUAUCAUGGGGGAUUUUGUCAAAUUCCUUGCUGAAAUCAAGAUAUACUAUGUCCACAGCAUUCCCCUGAUCCACCAAGCUUGUAACGCUACCAAACUCUAGUCACUUAAAUCCUACUCAGAAUAGACCCACAGUAAUUAAUCAACCUAAACUAGUCAUGUCCAUUAAUGUCAACGGAUCUACUCUGCGUGGGACAAGCAUUGACUACCACCCCAAAGUACUUAUAAUCCCUAUUUCUGAUGUAUUUUGGUGCAGGCAUUUGAAGUAUUCCAACCUGAGUUUUGCUCAGUUUGGGCUAAUAUAUUUAAGAAACAUGACAACUCAAGAUUUAACCAUAGUUCAUUCACAGAAGAAUAUGGUAGUGGCUUCUUGGCGGGGGGUGUCUCAGGAUCCAGCCAAAGAAGGUUAUGCUACUGCUCAUGAUAGAUGCCUUUUCCUUAGUGUAUGUUAGUUGCGGAAGUCUUAACAUCACUCAUACUGAGGAGGGCAACAGUACAGUACUAACUCCAGGCAACAGAAACAAACAAAAAAAAAAUUUAAACUCAGGAAAGCUACUAUCUCCAAGCUUUGCUCAUAUCUAUUUAAGACCUAUUACUGAGUAUAUGUUCAACUCAGCCCACUGUGAUUUGAUUGACAUUUUCACAGUUCCUUCACUGGCAGUGAAAAACUAAAAGUAAUUUCAUGUUAUAAGCAAGCCCUGUUUUCUCAAAAUAACAAUUUAAUAAGAGAAGACCUACUCCUAAUGUAUAUGACUGAUAUAUACCAUAAUUGGAAUACCUGGAUUUUUUUUUAGAGAGAAAACUGCUGACAUGGUAGGGGGAAAAGGACCAUUAAGUAGUGAUAUAAUUUAUGAUAAUGGCUCAUGUCAUUUUUUGUGAAUCAUUGAGCCUAUCCUGAUUCACAGUUGUUUCUUUUUCCUAAUUUUGAUGCUCUUUCAUCCCUACGUGUUUCACCUGCAUAAGAGUUUGUAAUCAUUUUUGAAAAACUUGGAUGUGUGUUUUGUCACAUGAACUUUGGGCCAUUUACUGAUCACAUUUUUAUGCAUGUAAUUUUACAUAAUUUUAUUAUCACAUGUGUCUGCAGAAAGGGGAUUGUGGAAAGUGAAGCUAACGUAGCAGGAUUUUUUUUUUAAAAAGGUUUUCAAACAAACAUUUACUUGAACAAAUACCAUCCAGGUCACUGUAAUCCCAUGAAUGCCCACAGAAUCUUUUUCAGUGUGUGCUUGCUUGCUUUCAUGAGGGCACAAAAUAUGUGAUCCUUUGUGAACAGUUUGAAACACACAAAUUUUGCGGACACCCCUAGUUAAGAGGCACGUCAAAAAACACCACCAAUAUUAAUCAGAAAGGGCUGACCUCUGAGACCCCAGUCCAGCUCUAGCUCUGCUUAGUUAGACAUGAGGGCAUCUAGUGGCUCUGAAAACCAUCCUCACCAAAGAUGUAUCAAGGCAAAUCAAGAGGACCAGAGUGAGCUCCACAGUACUGCAUGUAGGUACAAAUCCAUUUGUCCAACUUCGUUCACAUAGGUUGGAUAUGUGGAAGCCUCGUUUUGCAGAAGGAUAUCUCUAUGCCACAGUGAGAAAACUCUUUUUAGGGAGCAGUUUCUUGCUGUUUGUGUGGACCAUGAUAGCUGAUACCUUCUAAAACCCAUUGAUCACAAUUCCAUGAUUCCAUGAUAGCUCCUUACAACUUCAAUUUGCUUGCCCAAGGCUGUGCUGAGGGUGGUAGGCUAGGUCACAAAUAAUGGCUAGUGACUCUAAUUUGUACACACCAUACUUCCCCGUUUCCUUGCACAGCAGAGCCAACUGUAUCCAGCUAUAUCCAACUGCAACUUCUCCAGAGUGCUGAUGUGGCAGUGCAUUCAUGAAGGCUGCAAAGCCAGGUCACAGUCACAUGAAGAGGCAUUGUUUUAUCUUUGGGUUACCGUGUUGGUAACAAAACACAUGUGGCACUGUGUAGUGGAGCAGAGGAUUCACACUAUUAGCGCUGGUAUCAUUUUGGCUGUGAAAGUUUGUAUGGGUCUUCUGUAGGCUGACACUAAUCCAAACGAUUAGUAAAAAAUAGCAAAUUCACUCUUAUUCAUAAUAGGUGUUGGAGAAAAGGUGUGCUGUUUUUUCCCUUGAAAUGGUUUCAAGAGAGAUAGAAAAGAGAAAUCCAAGCUUGGAUGAGGUUGCAAUAGCCCAUGGGGAUAAAUAAUGCAUGAGCCAUGUGGGGGGGGGCAGAUUUGGGCAUUGCACAGGGUGCCACAAGAUAUUUGGGACACCAAGUUCUGCCGCAGAUUUCAAAUUCCAAAUCUGAGUAGCAAGAUAGGAAAUCUGGGGAAAUUUCAAAUAUUUGUGAAUAUUUGUCUCAGCCCUACUGUGUAUCUGUACCUGACUUGCAAAUAAAUCCACAAAAGACACUAGCUCACAUGCCUGCAUAUACCAAUGUUUGUCAUUUUGUAUUUACCAGCCAUGACUGGUAUGCCAACUAUGGCCAUUCUUGGACAGGAAUAGCCUCAAGCUUCAAUUACUAUGUGUGGGGCUGUCAAAAUGCAAUUUUAUUUCACUUCAGUUUGGGCGAUCUCUUAGUUAGAUGGAUACUAUCAGCAAUUUAAGAAAAUGUUAUCUAAUUGGUUUCUGGCCACACACAUUUGUUUAGUGUGUCUUAAAGAGAAUAUAGAUAAAUGCAUAUCUAAUACUCCAGAUCACUAAAUGCAAUGCUCAGUGCCUCUUGUAUAUGGCUGUCAAUUCUGAUGCCAAUGUAGCAUGAUAUUAAGCUCUUUCUAAUCUUUGUCAUCCCAGUCAUGGGAAGUUUCAUAUGGCUUCUGUCACUUGUCAGAGGCCACAUACAGGUCCUCAUAACGGUGAGGAUAAAGAGAGGCGUUAUGCUCCAAUAACCAUCAGACUUGACAGUUAUAUACAGGAGACACGAUUCCUGCAGUUUCUCAUCUUUCAUGAAAAGUAUCUUGUCUCAAAUGCUUCUGUGUCAUACUGGCUUUACAUUUGCUCAUCAGUUUUUGGAGUGAGGUCUGUGAUAUCCAGUUUCAACAUUAAGUUCAGCCCUCUUCACUUGUUAAAAUUAGAGUAAUGUAAACACAUAAGAGGGAGCAGCAAGGAUGGGGUCGCUAGUCGCCCAGAGUGGCUGAGGCAACCCAGUUAGAUGGGCAGAGUACAAAUAAUAAAAAUUGUUGUCAUUGGUGUCAUCUCCACCUUCCACUGUCACCAUUUCUUUCACCUUCCAACUCACAGAAAGCAAAGGUUUGAAAUGAGAAGCAUUCUGCAGUUGUGCAGGCACCCUAUGCCUUUUAGACUCUUGGGAAAUUUGAAAUGCAUAGGAAGCCUCCCUGCUUCAAAACUUCAAUUGCCACAAGCUGCGAGGUGACAAAUGGAGGUGGAAUGGGGCACUCACCACCCGUGUGUUUACUUCAACACCUGAAAAAGGCUUUUGAGUGAGAGUGCCUCAGGACAUAUGGUUAAAAGCCCACAUGGUCACGCACAUGAGAGCCUAGGUCAGCCUUUCACAACCUUGGGUCCCCAGAUGUUGUUGAACUACAAUUCCCACCAUCCCUAGCUAGCAAGGCCAGAGCUCAGGGAUGAUGGGAGUUGUAGUCCAACAACAUAUGGAGAUCCAAGGUUAAGAAACACUGGCCUAGGUGAAGGUAAGUCCAAUAGCAAUUGUGUGGCGGGGGACUUCCGGGUUGGUGCCUCCGGCAAUGGCGGAGCUCCUCCGUUCGGGAGGAACUUGCUCCGUGAAAAACAGGGUCUGACCGCCACGGCGAAGGUGGAGACCCAUUGAAAUCAUAAGCGGGAGAAGCUUGUGAACCUGGGAUUCGGCUGGCACCUUUUGCGCCUCCCCUACUCGUGUGAUAACCCUGUUUUGGGGAUCCGGAGCGACGUGGGGUGAGUGGUGCGGUGCUUUGAAUCGACUGCUUUUUUCACGGAGUGAAGCCGCAUUGCUGUUGCCGGAGAGCGCUGACUUUUUCCUGUGGACAAUUGGAUUAUAAACAACUACUCGUGAGUAAAUCGGAAAAUUGGAUUUUUAAAUACUUUAAUUUGGCACUGAAGCGGGAGGUCAUAAACAGGAAGUCCGCCUCCCGUUUUUGUAAAUAGACUGAAGCAAAGACAUUACAAGUUAAAGUCUUUAAAAGCUUUUGGCAAAGGAUUAAAUUUCCAUCGGUUUAAAAUACAAAACCCCCCUUGGAAGCAGGAGAAGAGGGGAAAUUUUGGAUCUAGUGAGCCUGCAGGAGAGAGUGAAAAAUCAAAUUACCACUGCUCUGAACCUGGGAACGGGCUGCCAGAUGACGUUUGGAGAGAGUGCAUUUGACAGAAUGGAUAAAUAAGAGUAAGAUACUGUUUCCAUUGUCCUCCUCUGCGUUUAAAAAAGAGGAAAAGUAACUGAAAAUUUAUCUUUAAUGCUUGAGUUGUGCUUGAAAGAAUUGAUACAUGUGGAGACUGUUUCCCUCUAGAGGGAGCUUUUGAAACUGUUACAGGACUGUAACUGGGGGAUUUCCAGCUGCAGAUAAGGUUUCUGAGAACCAGAGAGUGACCUUGGACCAUUUAAAAAUGUUGACAGGAGAGGCCAUUGUGACUGUUUUAUGUAAGAUAAGCUGUUCGCUGGGACAGCUUCACAAGAAGAUGGAUGACAUGACUUUUAAAGUUGAUAAUUUGGAACAGAAAGUGACUAAUUUGAGUCAAAAAGCGAACAUCAACACAGAAAUAAUUCAGGACUUGGUACAGGAAUCCAUUUUGGCAGGACAAAUGGUGGAGGAGAAGGAGAAGAAGGAGAAUGCUGCUGUUGUUGAACAUAAAGUUGAACAUAAAGUAAUACAAGUGAGAUCUGUGGCUUUACAGAAGCAAAUUGAGGACUAUAAGUUGAGGCCUUUUAUGAUUGAAUCUAGGAAAAGUCAGACUCUGAGGAAUGGAUCCCGGCUUGGACGAAAGAAGGAAAGUUGGAAAGAUCCCUCUAUGCAGGGAUUAACUGACUUUUGGGACAUGGACUCGGGCCUGGAGGAGAUUGAAGUUUUGGGGGCCUUUGGACUUGGAGGAAUCUUUAAAUAUGCCCUGAAAUACUUUAUGGACUGUAGCUUUAACUAUGGAAAUUUGGCUGAUCUGUUCAGAAGGAAGAAAAGGAUUGACAGGUUGGAGUUUCCCCGAGAUUUGCUCUUUAGCAUUAAAGAAAAUGAAGAAGACCUGCAGAAGGGACUUGGAAAAGAGUUAAGAGCCUCGGACAUAAGAUCACCAGGUUGAUGGACUUUAUGGAGUUGACGGAAAGGACUGGCAGAAUCCGAAACCAGGGAGAGGAGAUGGUGGAAGAAGAUUGGAUAAUUUAUAGUUUAUAUAUAGACUUACGGUAAAACUAAUGAGUGAUAGAAAAAUGGUGGAAUGAUUUUUUAUGGGCUUAGCAGAAAUUUUAUAAGGAGUUAAGUAUAUAUAAGUAUUUUAGUUUUAAUGGAAAAUAAGGUUAAAAAUACGUUAUUUACAAUAUGAUAGAAAAUGGAGAAAGAUGGAAAGGAUUUGCUGAAACAAUUAAAAGAAGUGGAAUACAAAAAGGGAGGUGAGAGGAGGUCGAGGAAACAAGGGAAUGAAAGAUAGAAUACGGAAAAGAGAUGAUGUAUGUUUUUAAAUUGUUUUUGUUUUGUUUCAUUUAGGGUUAAGGUUAGGGAGUGGGGUUUGUUUAGUUUAGUUUAAUGUGUUUAGUUUUGAGUUUAGGUUGUGUUUUGCAUUGUUUAUAUAUUGUAUUGUAUUGUUUUUUUUCUUUUUGCUUUCCUUCUUUGUCUUUUUUCUGUUUUUUUUCUCUUCUUUUUUCUCUUUUUGUAAUCUAUAAAAGUAAUAAACAUUAUUUUUUUUUUAAAAAAAGGAAUUGUGUGGCGAUGCCAAUUAUAUGAACUGGUACUUAUGCACUUGCAUCUAGCAUGACUGCAACUGGCUUUUUUUGGGGGGGGGAGCAGUCACAAUUGUCCAAAAGAACAGUGUCCGUAGGUCAUACCAUUGCCUCCUUCAGUCUGUGUGAUCCAUGCUCUGACAAGUGAUCAGCUGGGAUAUUGUGUCCUAGUUUUAUGUAUUUAUUUGUAUGUUGACAAAUUUUUGUCACAUAUACUGCAUUAAUUCUGCCACCCAGUUCUUGUUAUCUAAAUUUGUUGUAUUCCCUAGUGAGCUAUAAUUUUGGAGUACAAAAAACUAGCUCUGGUAUAUUGAUGCGGAGCCCAAGAGAGUGGCAGUUGAAAGACCAUUCUCUUGAGCCUACAAACAUUCUGCAGUUGUUAUUCUCUUCCUGUUUUUCAGAUAAUAUGCAUUUUAAUAUCAACUUCUAAUCCUCUUCUCAGGUAAAUGAAUAUAAAAAAUAUAAACAGAAUGAUAAAUAUUGUAUGUCUCGUCUAAACUGUCAAAUGUUACUGAUAGUGAAACCUAGGCUACCAAAUACUGAAUAUCAAAUAAUGUAUUGAUGUUCAUUUUACUAAUAUGUAUAGCCUUCUUUCCCUGAGAAAUAAAUCCAAUAAAUUAAAAAAAAAUGUAGUAUAUAAAAAAUAGACCUCCAUCUGACACAGAGUGGCUGGACACUGCUGAAGUCCAAGAUGAGAAGGUCAAAAUGUUGGUUAGGCCAACAAAAAGGGCCUCUCUCCCAUUCCAUCUCCUCUAAUAAGAUGCAUUGCUGAUGGCCUUUCAGAGAGUCCAAGAGGAGAGGGGCUUGAAUGAAUAACAUAGGCCAGGAAUAGUCAACAUGGUGCCCUCUACAUGUUCUUGAAUUCCAGCUCCCAUCAGCCCCUUUCAGCUUGACCAGUGAUCAGGAAUGGCUGGAGUUGAAGACCACCAACAUCGGAAGGCAUAGACAGCCAAAUAUCAAUCAUUAGAUAUCAAAUAGCAUGGUUUACCAGGUAUCACAUGAGAUGUGCAGAUCAGAGUUACUGCCUCUACAUGGAUUUUACAGUGUUUACACAGGAUUAAUCAUUUAAGUCGCUGGACAAUUCCUGGGGUACUAAUGAAGUGGCAAUGGUUUUGUUUUUUAAUCUUGCAAAGCCACCCUGUCAUCAGCAAGGAAUAGAGAAUGAAGUUGAUAAUUUAGUAUUCAGACCAAGCCUCUGGUGGACAGUAGAUACUGAUGGCGUUUAGCAGUACUUGUGCUUUUCAACAAUGAUUCGUCGUAAAACAUUUGUCUCCUGACUCUGUUAUCAAACAUUCUUUGGCACUCUCUCUCACUCUCUCUCCUUCUCCCCACCCCCCGCAUGUCGCUAAUGCCAGUUGAGAUUUGAAAUAGUCUAAACAGCUGAAUACUUAAACUACAAGGAGUCUGGGGCAAAGAAUCUUGUAUUUGUAAAAAGGGCAAUAUUUGCAUUUUUAGAAGACAGUAGUAGCAGUGAUUCCUGUAACUCCAUAAGCCCCCUGACAAAUAAGAUUCCAUUUAUUUAUAUUGCUAUAUGGAAGAAAAGAUCCAAUAUAAUAAUUUUGCUUUCUGUAUCAUUCCCCCUACCCCUCCAUUUUUAAGUACCAUUUGUUGCAAAGGUUUCAACAGAAAACUGGAAGGCCUUCACAAACAAAAAUAAUGGGGAAUUACCACCAGAUCAUGAAGUGUAGAGCUAGCCAACUUGAUGCCCUCCAGAGGUUGUUUAAAAUCACUCCCAUCAUCUUUGACCAUUGGUCAGGUACCUGGAGCUGAUGGGUGUUGCAUCCAUGACAUAGUGCAAUCUUGUGCAUGUUUACUCAGAAAUAAACCCCACUGAUUUUAAUGGUGCUUACUCCAAAGUAAGUUUGUACAGGGUUGUAGCUUGAGUAUGUGUGUUCCUAAGCAACUUUCCUAAUGCCACUCUUUAUUUUUAACCUGUUCAGCACUGGAUAUUUUUGUCAUCCAUCAUCAUCAUCUCAAAUUAAUAGUGUGCACACAAAUAAUAAACAUAACACUUAAAAUUAAUAUGAUGUUACAAUUUUGUAAUCCCUAAAUCAGGGUUGCCAGUGCUGCACCUGCAGAUGGCAGUUGCCACACGAGUACCUCUUAAGGUGCCCACAAAAGGUCUCAGAAAAUAUUUCCUCAGGUAUCCACAAUACAUGAGAGUCUUUUGCUCUUCCUAUUCAGUUCUUGUUUGCACUGGCAGCGGUUUUGUGACGGGUGCUCAUCGCACUUCCUCAAAAUUGCAAAAGUGUCCCCUGUCCAAAAUGGGUUGGUGGCUCUUAUCUUAAACCAUUUUUUCACAAGUGGGAUCCACUUCAAAAUAAAUUGCUUAACAUUAGUGCCUCGGUUCUAGGCCCAGUGCAAUGAUUCCCAAACUCUGUGCUUCAAGAGGUUUUGAAGAAUGCCUUGGAAAACAAAGCAGAUAAGAUGGAUGAAUCUACCACUCUAUUCACUCGGAGUGGGUAGGCCCUGGGCAGCAUUGGUCUCUCUCUGAGACCAUGUGGUUGGUGACAUCAGCCCAAAGUAAGAAGAAAGGAAUCAGGAUGCACUAAGAAUCUUUGAUGCAGCCUGCGUAGCAGAGUGAAAGGCAUAAAGGAAUGCCAGAAGCACUUUCAUUGCCAGACAGUAUGGUCCCAUCCCUACGUGGACCAAGGGGAGGGUAUGGUAGUAAUUGCGCUCAAGGAUGCUUGAGCUGUUAGCCAGACGGCAAAACAGAAGCACAGUCAUGGCCAAGGCGCAAGUUAUGCAGUCUAGUGAAGUGCAGGCAAAGCAAGGCAAGAUGGCUUUGUAUUGCUACUCUGAGGGAUGGAGGAGGCAUUCCAGUCAGCUCAGAUUCAAUUCAAUUCACAUCACAUUCGUUUCAAUUCACUUUUCAAAACAAUAUGCAAACUGAAGCCCAGCUAUUCUUCAAAAUUGGCCCUUUGCUGCAUUUUGUCACGCCAAGUUUUGCGUACAAAAAUGCAUAUACUGUGGUAAACUGUGCAUAUGAAUGCAUAUAUUAGUGAAAAUAAGAUACAAAAAUGCAUCAGCGGAAAUUGCUUUGAAAAAACAUUUGCACACAAAUUUGUUUAAUAGGAGAAAUUAGCAGAAAAAUGCUGACAAGCUCUCUUGAGGACUCCCUCCCCCGCUUUCAAACUGCAGACUGAUGUGGAAAUUUGGAUAACUGAACCUCAGAGUGGAAAAAUGAGAAAUUCUGUAAACUGCCUUGUGAUCUUCAGGUGAAGGGUGGUAUGUAUAUUUAAAUAAAUAAAUGAAUGAAUAAAUGGGAAGAAAAUGAAAUUGAGAUAUUCUUCCAUUGAUAGUGAUGGGUUGUUCAGAUUGAGGAGCAAGCUCUGAGGCCAGAGCUUUAUAAGUCUGGGUAAGUGAGGAUUGUCCUGCGGACUCAGCUGGCAGUUCCGUGGGUAGGUUUGUACUGUCUACGAUUGCAUCCUUCCUGCAGAGCAGGAAUAGUGCUAGUGGCCCUGGAAAUAAGGCACCAGGUGGACGCUGCACUUUGAGACCCCUACUAUCAAUUUUGACUCAGGAACCCAAAAUAUAGGAAACACUGUCCUUGUGCAUUACUUUAUUCAUAACCUUCCAUUUGAAUCCUUACUUCUGAAUCGGUGCUUUUAUCAGGCUAGUAGAGAUGAAAAUGUUCUUCAGUUCUGUUUCCCUACAAUUGGAUAGAGUGGUAUUCUAUUCAGUGUAAUUUGGAUUCAGAGCUACAUUUCUUCCUGUUUUCCUCCACUGAAACCAUAGAAUACUGAUGAAUCGCAGGCAAAAUUCACUGAGGGAGCUUGCCUUGUUUUUCUUUGUUGUUUUCUAACCAGUUUUUCCCUUUCUAUGUACUGUUUUGUUUUUUGAAUCCCUUUCCUGCUUUCAUCUUGUCCCAGCAUAAAAGCUAAAUAUUUUAGGAGCUAUGAAAAUGAGAGCUUCACUGGUCUUGUUUGUCAUACUUCCAACCUGAGUGCUUCAUAUUUCCUGUAUUUUUGUGUGUGCUUCUUUGUGUGUGCUCAUUGGAAUGUCCAGGUAAAGGGAUAUAAGCUGCCAGUGCUAACCAGGGACUUCAGACUGAUACCUUAGAGAGCCAUUGUUGGAGUGCCAGCCAGCAGUGGUCUGACCCAACAUAAAGCAGUUUCUUAUGACCAGAAGUUUAAACCUAAUAAACAAUAAAAGGGGAAGGAAAGCAUGAGAGGCUUCUUUCUGUCGCCUCUCUUUCCCACAGAGACCUUUCAGGUUUGAAGCCAUUGCCAGUUCUUUCUCAGCAUAAAUCCCACAUUAUACCAUUGCAGCAUUAGCCCUAUUCAGAACAGUUGACAAUGGAGUCAACCAAAGUGGUGGCAACCCUGGCCUUAAUUGUAAGUAGUGCCAAACCCAGGACCUGAUGGGAGACAUAAGUGUGGUUGACCUGACCACAAAGUUGUCAAAUGCAACAUAUACACAACAUAUACGCAAGUGAAUUGGCAAGGAAAUUGAACACAGCCACAUUUGAUUUCAAAAGAGGAAACUUACCCAUAAUAGGGAUUUUUUGAGCCUCCAGCACUUGAAAGUAUGAUCAAAAUGUAUAUGUAGGAAAAAGCCACCUUACAACUUCUCUUUCUAUAAUAAAACUUCUAUAAUAAUGCCCAGCUGUGUAGAUUGACAUAUAAACUAAACAAUGUCUUAGAUUUCUUUUCAGCCCUAACAUGCAGGAUAGAAUAUCCCAGGACCAUUUUCUCCCAUUUUACUUUAAACAAAGUGUUGUGGUUUGUUAGUAAAAACAAAUGGUGAGUUGCCCAAGGUUAUAUGGGGAAAGAGUUUUAUGCUUACACCCAAAAAACUGGCUCUAUGUUGUCUGACUAAAUGUCAGUUGAUGCGGCUGUUCAUCUUAUACAGAUUAGUAUUUUUAGUGUUGCCCAUAAAACAUUGAACCCUGGGCAUACGUAUGCCCUAUCCCCCUGCCCCCCCGGCCACUGCCACCACCAAAAUAUCUUCCUCUAUAAUCACUUUUGAUAAGGGCUCUAUUUAAUAGCUUCAAAAUGAUUUGGCCCCAAGUCAGCCUGUCUUUGCAUCUCCUUAGAAAAAUGAAACUUAAAAAGAGCUGCUUUGAAAUCAUUAUUUUAUUAAAAGGAAUUCACUUCUGAGUGGAACAAGAUAAUUUGAAACUAAUUACCAUCUUGUAAAAAAACAGCCAUGCGGUUGCUUGCUAUGCAAAUGCUACACUUGGAAAAAGUAACAAGAAGACCAGGAGAAAAACAAAACAUGAUGUGGGAAGAAAUCUUUUAUGUUGUUAUUUUAAACUUUAGUCACUGUUCUUGUGACAGGGACUCAUUAUAACAGAUGAUACAUAUUGGCUCAGUGGAAGCCAUUAGGGAGAAAUCCAGUGAACUAUCUUCUCCAUUUAUUAUCUACCAGCCAGCAACAUUCUCCAUGGGGGAAGAAAAAUCUAUAUUCACUGUCUGAAUCAUCAGACAGAAUAUUAAGAAAACCAGCAAACAGGAUGCUGGAUCCAGCACUCUCCACAAGUAGCAAUAGUUUGGGAAAGAGAACCAAAAUAUGGACCAUUUGCAGUAUAUUGCGCUGGAUGAUACAAAUUUAUUACAUGCUGAGAAUCUGGUUGAACUGGGAAAUUUCCUGUGUCAGCCACCAACCAAUCAAAACAGGAAGAAUAAUGUAUUGGGAGAGUAUUGUAUUGGAAUGGUCGUAUCUCAGUGAAUAUACUUUGCAUGGAAAAGAUCCCAGGUUCAAUCCAAGGCAUCUUCAGAUAGGGUUGGGAAAUAUUUCUCUCUGAAAUCCUGGAAAGCGGCUGUCAGUCACUGUAAACAUAUUGAGCCAGGUGGGCUAAUGUCUUCAUUCAGUCUAAAGCGGCUUCCAGUUUCCUGGUGCCAUAAGUCACAGUUUGCUGGGACAUACAGGAGCUGUACAAAAGCAUCUGUCAGAGUAUACUGGAUUUGAACUGUGAGCGUCUGGGUACAUGUGCAAAUGGCCAUCAUGGUGAGCAAGAAGAAUGAAGCAGCUUUGCUCUCCAAGGUUCUUCAACCAUCCCAUGCUCUCGUGCUGCUUAAUUCCUCCUCUCUUGUCCUGGAUAUAGAUACUUCCCGCUCAGGCCUGUGUUUUGUGCUUCCCAAGGUGGCUCUCCAUACCAGCAGAAUCACUGUUUCAAACACUCCCACAGUGCUCCUUUCUGAAUGGGAUUCCAAAUACACAUUUGUGAAUAAUGCACAUUGCCAGAAUUCAUUGCACAGUGUUUUUAUACACAUGCAAAAUGUGUAAUUUAGAAAUCUAAAAAUCAUUACCUCAGAUAAGUUUGGUUUAUUUGUCAUCAGACUAUCACCUAGUAUAAGCAAGAAUAACAAAAGGGAACUACAUAGCUAAAUAAAAUUAAGAAAUGUUAAAAUAAAAACAAUUUGCAUAGACCUGAAUAAAAUAAUAUAAAAGCAUAAUCCAACUUAAAAUUAUAUUGAAUAUGAUAAAACUAUCAUGUUUGGUUAGGGCAAGAGAGGGAAGACAACCCUUACAACUGCUUUGUAGAAAAAUGAAGUAUGUUUAUUGUGUAUGGUACACGGAAAUGAACAUUUUAUUUUAUUGUUAUUAUGAAAAUCUUCUGUAUUUCUAACACACACACACCUGUAAAAAAAUAAAUCUGAGUCUCCAUGGUCUGACACAGCAUGACCCUGUAAAACUUGCUCUUAAAAUUAUUUUAACACAACUUAAAUCAGUUCAUACAAACAUGAACAAAAGUAUAUAGAAAUAAUAAUGUAGCAAAAUUCUGAACUUCCCUGGCAAGACACAACAUUCUCUCUUAAUUUUUUCCCCCUUACCCUCAAUUAAGGCAGAUAGAAAAUGUGGCUUUUAUUGUAGUUUGGCUGUUCACAGCUCUUUAUGUGUAUAAAAUAUAUUUCCCCUCUCAUGCUUUUGAAAACCUUAUUGAUUUAGUCCGCUCACAAAAAUGCCAUAACCUUCUAUUUAAUAUCUCAUGCAGCAACAGAGAUCAAGAUUCAUUAUAGAAAAAGAAUUCACCUUAAAUAGUUUUGCACUCCUUUUUGUUUGCUACUUUUGUGUAAGCAAAAUUAAAACAGUUAUCCUUCAAACCUGGGGAUGUAUAUACACACCUAAUAGUUGCUAACCUCUUUGUAAGGCCUUCUAAAAAUGUUUGAUAUGCCUGUGCUUGAUUUCACCCACUCUAUGGCCCUAUUUUGGCCAUAUGGCUAUAGAUUCGUAUAGUGGUUAGUCAAUGUAUAUUCUGGGAUAAGAAUGCAAGACAUCAUGAUGCCAAAGGUAUCUAUGGAAUGGCAUACCAAAUUGUUAACAGGACCAAAAGCAGUGGAAUUUUCUGUUACCUAUUGCCAUGGGUUUGAGCUUUUGUGGAGUCUGAACCCUCACCUUUAUUGAUUGAUCAUACUUUGCUGCCCCUUUAUGAGAAACCAAGUGGAACGUUGGAAAAAUUGGUGGGUAAGGCCUCUGCUCUGUCUGAGGAUGUUUUCUACAAUAAACAUUUGAUUUUCUACAUCUUUUUGCUAGAGCUAGCUAACAGCCAGCAGAAUACAAAUAAGUUGAAUUCAUGUCAAUUCUGUCAUUGCCCCAGCAUGCACACUCUGCACUAGACCUGUCAGUUUAUUGAGAAAUUGAAAUGUGGAAUUAAAGCAGUAUUGAACGGUCAAUAGAGCUCAGUUGCCAGCCUCCCUUUCAUCCCUGCAAAACUUGCCUGUGAGCAACCAUCAGCAUAGAAUUGCUUGCUAAACUCCAAUCCAACUCACAGAUGGUGAAACAGUUGCAGUGCUUCUGUUUCCACAGAGGAAGACCAAGAGAUGAUCACCACCCCAAAGCACGGUUGCAGUUGUCAACUAAGGGAGCAUUUGGGGCUUUCAUCAGAAGGGAAAACUGGGGAAGAUCUGUGCAUUCCUGAUAAGGAAUGGGCAAAUCCGUGUCAGCUUUUGUUUCUCUUUUUCUCCAAUCUCAAGUUCAAUUAUCCACAUUCCCACAUUCGCUUGCAACUUUUUAAAACAACAACAACAUUAUUUAUACCAUGCCCAUCUGGCUGGGUUUCCCCAGCCACUCUGGGCGGCUCCCAACAGAAUAUUAAAAAAUGCGAUAAAACAUCAAACAUUAAAAACUUCCCAAAACAGGGAAUGAAAAUUUCUCCUGAUAUACACAGUUUUGUAUGUAAUUUUACCCAAUGUACAUGUUUUUACAAACAAUUUCCCAUAAUAUAAUGCAAUUUAGAUAUUAUUUUCACUGUAUAUAGAUUUUUCUGCACACUUAGUGUAUGCUUUUGUGUACUUGGCUAGAGAAUUGCAUUGCAAAAUUUGGGUAAGUGUGAAUUUUGAAGGACGGCUGCAUUACAGUUCACAUUAUGUUUUGGGAAGUGCAAACUGGGUAGAUUCACCUUUAAAUAUAAACUGAACUGAAUUUCUUCCCCAUGCCUACUUCUGGUAGAAGUGGGGGCGGGGAUAUGAGGAAAAUAACCAUGUAAACUGGGGCUCUGUGUGUUCAGGCCUUCACAUUUGAGUGGCCACAUCAAAUGUUACAUUGCGUGUGUGGCAGAAGGAAUGCCUGCCCACUUCACCACAGGAAUGCAGUUGUUGGCCGGGAAAGCAUAACUUGAUAACUCGCAUUAAAUGUGAGAAUGUUCUCCACUGACAUGUCAAAUUUCUGUGGUGUUGAUAUCUGAUAGCCCCUUCACAAGUGGAACUCAUCACCUGAUCCUACGGUUAUCAAGUGAUGAACGUGCACAUGUGAAUGAACUCAUAAGUGUUGUAAGUGACCUCUUCAGCAGCCUCAGGGGGCAGGUCUUCCAGGACUCACAGCCAAGCUGGUCUCUGGCCUCCUCAGCAGCUUCAAGUUUUGUAGCUGGAGUCAGUAAGGGUCCCACCCACCCAUGCCGGGGGUGGGGGGAGCCAGCAAGGCACUUUCUGUCUUUCUUUUAUAACAAAAGGCUUUGCCAACAUUCACAUUGGGACAUUCUGUGGCAAAUGAGGAAGUUGCUAGGCUGCUCACUGGCAAAUCUUGUUUUUUUUUAAAAAAAUAAAAGGAAGAUACUGCAGGGGAGGAGAGAACCCUCUGUUGCCUUGUGUUAAUGGCAAAUCCAGUCAUCACCAACUGAUUUCACUCGCUGCAUGAAAACAAACUGUUUUUUCAACCAUUCUUCCCCCACUCCUCAAACAAGUGAAAAUCUGGGCCAAUAUAUCUGGUCCCACAUUAAAUACUUCUUAUUAUGUUUGUUUUAUAUGAUCAUUUCAUAUGCAUUCACACUUUCAACCAUUCUCUUUGCUGGUGAAAUAAGAGAUUAUCCUCUUUCCUGUUCUACUGCUGCAGUCCUGGUGGUGCAAACAACGCUACUGUACACUCGCUGUGAGUUGAGAAAAUCACACUUUUCAGCAGAUACUCACUCCUGUGAAGGAAAUCAAUAUGCCCAGCCUAAGUGAAAUAACUGCUGGCAAUACAGUAAUUAGGUCAUUAAACAGCAAUGGAUAUGCAUUAAGAAGCAACACAGAAUGCCCUCAGCUCUGUUAAAAACAGCACAUGCUAAAACUGGAGGUAGUUAGCAAUAUCAACUAAUUAGAUGCAGAACAAGAGAGAGGAUAAAGAAUAAACUAUUUUUUAAUUGAUAAGGUUCCCGCAAAGCUGUGAGGAGAGAUCACAAUAGCUAGAUUUUUGGCAGUUUGUGAAAUAUCAGCUUUAAUCUCUGAAGCAACCUGCUAUUAAUAGAUGCUAGAAGAAAGAGAUGCUAGAAUAAAUACUCCAAACACAUGGAAAAUACUUCUGAGCUUAAUUAUUAUGAAGGCUAGGUAAUCAACACAGAUACCAUAUCUCUCCAAAACCAGAAAGUAAAAUCAAAAGAGAGAAACGCAAAUCCUUCACUGUUUUCUGAUUAUUUUGAAAUAGCAAAUAAGAUAAUAAGUAGCUGCAUUUUUUAACAAUGCGAGAAGAAAUAUAUUUGCCAUGGGAAGAUACAAAUUGAUCACAUUGCCCUGUGAUACAAUGAGGGAUGGGUUUACCUAUCCACAGCCAGUGGCCAUUCUGAAUUGUUAAACAGAUUUUUUUUUAUCCUAAAAAUGAUAAAUGCAUUUUUACAUGCAUUUUAGCAUUUAUUCUUUAGCUUUGCCAGUGUGGUGUAGUGGUUAAGAGCGAUAGACUCGUAAUCUGGUGAACCGGGUUCGCUUCCCUGCUCCUCCACAUGUAGCUGCUGGGUGACCUUGGGCCAGUCACACUUCUUUGAAGUCUCUCAGCCCCACUCACCUCACAGAGUGUUUGUUGUGGGGGAGGAAGGGAAAGGAGAAUGUUAGCCGCUUUGAGACUCCUUCGGGUAGUGAUAAAGCGGGAUAUCAAAUCCAAACUCUUCUGCUUCUUCUUCUUCAACUACUGGUUGAUUCUACAUUAGAACUGCUAGAGGAAUCUGUCCUUUGCAGGUUCUGAUACUGACCUAAUCCCCACUUUCUACACCUAUGUGUGGAUUUGAAGGUACCUUUAUGCAUUUCGUGGUUGGAGCCUGGAAAACCGCAUGGUCUAAGUCACCCAGUGGGCUUUAUGAUUGAAGUUGGAGUUGAAUGCACAGCACCUUAACCCAGGGCUCUUUUUUAGCCAGAACUCACCAGAACUCAGUUCUGGCACCUCUCAGCUAUGCGCCAUUGCCAUUAUAAGAGAACAAGGGAGGUGUUCAUGGUGAGUUCUGGCACCUCCUUUUCCAGAAAAAUUGCACUGCCCUAACUGCUUCAAAUUCUGUCUACAGCCCCAUUGUAUGAUAGUAGGGCCGAUAUGUUUUCAGCAUUUCCUUUGCAAGUCUGGGCAUAAUUUGAUGUUCCUUGGUCUCUCAAAUUCCUUGUGGCCAUUUCAUGAGCAAUAUUCUUCCCAUUACAGCCACAGCAUUACCAGUGCUAUAAUCUGAACACUCCCUUAUAAGGCGAACUUUUAUAGGGCAAUCAAACAUUUUGUUGAGCUGUUAGAUAUUAUGCUGUAAAACGCAUCCUUAAUUAAUAGAUGUCUGACAGGUUCUAUCUGGUGUAUUUUACAUAUUCACAACCUCUCGGGUUUUUUGGUUUAAUUUCCUGCACGUUAGCAUCAUUCAAUGGGAUAUUAAAAAUGUCCAAUUUAUUUCUCCUGUCAAAUCUACAAAGCAGGAGCAAGUUCUUGUAGUGAUUGUGGUAUCCUGGAAUAAUCUAAUGAUGUUUGUGUCCCCAUUUUAUGCUCUAUAUAGCACUGAGUGUAUGCUGUACGUGAGUGGGUAGACAUGGUUGGAAUGGCAGAUCGAAUCCAAGAGAUUAUUAAAAUGUCCAUCAGACAAUUGAAACGUUUGAAAUCUGCAACAUGGCUCUGAACAAAAAGGGGAGUGGUAACUUCAUCCAGUCACAUCUGGUUCUGUGCCUUCUCUCUAUACUUAAAGGCAGUGAGGUCAUGUAUUCACAGCAGCGACCAGAGAAGAAAGUACUUUUAACUAGUACUUUCCCUAUAUAUAUAAAAUGGAUGGUAUACAAAUACUUUGUGUGUGUGUGUGUGUGUGUGUGUGUGUGUGUGUGGUAUUUGUAUACCAUCCAUUAUGUGUAGCUUUGUAUUUCGCUUUUUAAGAUGUAUAUCCUUUUAAAAUGAACAGUUAAAUUUAAUAAUGAACAGUUAAAGGGGGGGAGUGUGCAGAUGGAGGGGAUUGGUCUACUGAUUGCUGAUGUCACAAUGACAAGUUGCUUGGCAACGACUGCUUGCCAACUUGCCGGUGAGUGGCAGUUGCAGCCCAAUGCGACACGUCCUCUCUCCUCUGGACACACAGCACCAUUUUAGAUUGUUUCCCUAUCUCCUCCGGCCACAAUGGAGGCUCACAGGUUCCUGCCUAACCCAUCCUUCAAAGGAGCCAAUCCGCAGGGGCCGGGGGGGGGCAUGGCCAGCAACUUAGCCUGACUGACCACUCAGCACAGCAUCCAGUCGGCCAGGAGCAUCACCCAUCCCUUCCCCUCCCUUCAUUAAUAGUUGAUUACUGCUCUAACUGUUUCUUUUCAGCUAGCCAGACUUUACUGUGGUCUUCUGGCGGUUGCCGUAUUUGGAGCCGGGAAGUAAUUUCCCCUGCUCUGCAGGUCUCACCUUCCCCAUGGUCACAACUUUGGCGGUUUGGGCCUUAGACGGAAUCCUAUAGUCUUUCAUCCAGCCGAGGUGUGGUGAAGUGGUGACUCACGCACCCCAUUUUCCCUGCGGCGGCAUUAACAGGGUACCUCGUUAGAGGGCUCUGGAAAGAAGUCUCUGUCCAAAGAGCCAAGUGCGUAGGCCUAGUGGACCAUAGAGCUUCCCUCAGGAUUUGGGGGCCAUCUGCGUAAAUGUGCAUUUUGUGAUGGAUCCACCCCCGAAUAGACCCUGUCAUGCCCCAGUUCUCCAGCGGGGGGCAGGCUGAGAGGGAUAAACGCCCAACGCCUUUGCCAAAGCUUCCUACAUCUGAAAUCAAUUAAGUUGUAGCCAUUUAAAUCCCAGACAGUUGUUGUGUCCAUUCAUUUUACCACUCAGAUUCUGCGGCUGGGCACGCAACCGAAGUUGUCCUUUCAGAAUCUGCUACCAGACUAUGCUGUUGUGAAUUAAAACCAUGUUUUACUUCAGUUCCACUUCUCAUGUGAUAUAUAGUCACUGCUUUUCUUCCAUUUGUGGAAAUAAAGUAUUCAUUACCCAUGAAGAAAAUGAUAGUAACACUUAAAAAUUCUGGACAAAAAUGCUCAUCAGAUCUGCAUGGCAGAACUUAAGCUAAGAUGCUGUGUUCUCUGUGUCUUCACAAAGAAAUCAAGGGCAUCUUUAAAUUGGCAGUGAAAGUCAUUAUGCACUGGAAAAAGGGGGAAUGUGGAAAGUUUUUUUCCCUUUCAGGUAAAUUUGCUUUGACAUCUGUGAAGGCCUGUGCUGCUUUUAGACCAGAUCCCCUAGGAUAGUUGGUGUAUUCUGGGUUCUAUCUAGGGUUUGUCUUCUCAAAAAGAAAAAGAAACAAUUUCAUACUUAUACAAAAAAGGGGGGGGGGAAUCAAAGCAUACUAAGCAACAAUAGGAAAUGAAAGAGGCCAGGGAAAGUAUCACGUAAGUGAUUCAUUUAACCUGACCAAAAGUCCAGUAGGAAAGUAAUACAAAACAAUGUAAUUUAAAGGCAAUGUAUGCUAUCUGGAGAAAAUAAAUUAAACUGGAUUCCUAACCUACUAAAUCCAAGCCUAUAAAAUACAGUGAUAAUCACACUGACAGUUAAUUAAGAAGGAGAGCAGUGUAGAGAAGUAUAUCUGAGUCUGUCAGAAGUAUGGACAGUUCCUUUUUGGGUUUCCAGAUAAGUAAAAUGAUAGCUACAAUUCACAGGAGUUUCAGCUCCCCUCUUCCCUUGAACCUGGCAAAUGAACUGUUGCCCCAAAUGGAAAGCAGAUUUCUGCAUCUGAUUGUAAGUUGCUCCAAAGAAGGGGCAGCUCGUCCUGUUUUGCCACCACAGGCAAAACAGGAUAGUGUUGCUGUGCUGCUGAAGUCUCUCUUACCUGGGUUGUGUGGCAUCACCUGUGAAAUGGCAACAACAGCAGCGGGUUUCAGCGAGCUUUCACAAGAUCUCACAGAACUCUCAUGAGAUUUUGUGGAGCUCUUGCUGGAAGCCACUGCUGCUUCUGCACCAGCAGUGGAGACAGUUGGGGUGCCUCUGAGGUCACUGGCCCUUGGAGUUGUGCCACCCAAGGCUUUACACUGCCUCAUGGACCAUGCUCCAAAGAGAUGUAUGUCCAACAUAAAAAAUAUUAAAUACCAGCAUACCAAUGUGUGGAUAGAAAUUACAGUUUCAGCUCUACUGCCGUCUAAGGGUAGACUACUCUAUUUCCGGUUCAUGCCAUUUUUCAUAUGUUAUGCAUAUAUCCAUUCCAUUCUAUUUCCACAUCUUUUUUGGUUUUUAUAUAUUCUGUCUCAACAUUUUUGCCUGCAAAUGUUAUAUUUAUAUACAGUUCUAGAUGUUCAUUUUAAAUAGAUGCAGCUUUUUAUCAAAUAUUAUCAAAUUGGCCUGUAAGAGUUGUGUGGCAGACAGAAAUUAAACAGGCUAAACCUUUUCUAGCAUGGAAAUGCAAUUACGGGGAAAGCUUCACCUGUUGACAUUUUGUAUCAUAUCUAUUUACUUGUGUGUAGUUGUCCUUCACCCCCACCUGCAAAAGAGGACAACUUUUGCAUAUGCAAAAAUUGUGCAAAAUUGUGCCUUAUUGAAUGAGCGCAGCAGAGACCCAAAUCUGCAUAUAGUAUUCUGGGCCCAGAAAUUCUUGGAGUCAACCCUGUUAUGGUGGCCUGUGAUUCCAUACAAUGUUGCACCAGGUAGGCAAUGUCCACUGGUUGAUCCAAUCUUACAUUCUGUAGCCGGCAAUGCAAGCACUAAAGGCUUCAGUAUCUGUAAACUAUGAAGGAUGAACUUUGUAUUAAAUCAGGAAUAGCCGAAAUAGUGAAUUCCAGAUGCUGAUGGCCUCCAAUUCCCAUCAGUCCAAGCCAACAAUUGGAGAUGAUGGGAACGUUAGUCCUGCAACGUCUGGAGGGUACCACAUUGGCUACUCCUGUAUUUAAUCUACAUUGCUGCCUUAUAAGAACACUAGGGACAACUUUCUCUGACUUACAUAGGGUAUUGGCAUGUUAUUGUUUUUGGUAGUAAGUUGCCUGGAAGGUAUAAAUACAUACUUGGCUUGCCUUUGUCUCUCCGUCUGGCAGGUGUUACUUUGUUCUCAGAGAUUUCUUUCCAGUGUUUAAUUAGUUUUGUCAGUCAGCUGUCUCAUAUGGCAUUUCUUGAGUCAUUACAAUUUUUAUCCAAUUAACAGCAAUAUUUUUGAAAGGCAUAAUGACUAGAAUGCCACUGGAGGUAGAAAAAUGACCCCCCUCUUCAGUGUGCAACUACUUCUCUAGAGAAAUUGUUUAUAAAAAACAAAUAUACAAAUAUUUUAUUGUUUCAUUGAAAAUACAGCGGUGUUCCUGUUCAUGAUAGGAAUAGACUAAAAAAUGAGGCAUUUCCUUGUUCCACACAGCCAUUACUAGAGAUGAGUGUAUCAGUUUAUUGGUGGUCUGUGCCAUUUUUGAAUGUGUUUGCCCUUAAAGCUGUUGUGUCUGAUGCAAAAACUAACAACUGCAUAAAAAACCCCUUUUGAAUAAGUAUUUAAACCUGCAUUUCAAAAUGUAUUUUCUCUGAGGUAUUUCUUUCAAAACGCAUAUUUCUAACCUGCUUUUGAGCUGGGAACUACUCCCUCCUAUGUGCCAAGGUUAUUAUGUCCCCCAGAAUAUAGUGAGGAACUGUGAUCCAGGCUCAUAGCCAGAGGGAGACCAAAAAAGUGUGCUUGGGAAGAGUGUUAUCUAGACUGCUGGUCUUUUAAAUACAAAAUUGUAACCUGUUUUUAUCAGUGUAUCCUGUGCUUACAAGUGAUGUAUCAGAAUUUGCAACAGGAGAUUUUCUACAAACAGUGCAAGAUGUCUUGCCACUCCAUGAUUUAAACCAGGAAAACAGGAUCAUCUGAAUAUAGCCAGCCAUUAUAGAUGGCCCUGCAUUUGAUGAAAGACGAGGCUGUGCAGGUUUAGUCUCACCUAAGUCUGUUGGUAUGGUUAUAGCUGAAGUCAGCUGAAUUUCUUGCUAACUUCUCAGAUGUAUCUUCUCUUUCCAAAGCAGCUCUGGGCCUGCUGAUAGUAGAAUCAGUGUUUUCUCCAUUGGUUAAAGGUGCUGCCGCAUUGCCUCUGACAGAAGUUGCUGUCUAAUAUUUAUUUCCAGCAAAGAAACUAAUGAUGGAUAUUUGUUUUGAAGUGUUUGCUUAUGUUUGCCUAUAGUGUAUAUUGUUUUUGAAGUUAUGAUGAUAAUAAUAGUGCUGGUGAAUUGGGUGUCUGCAACUCCCCUAGCCAGGGGAAAUAUAACUCUAUCUCUCCAUCUGAAAAGGCAUAAAAACAUGCCCCCUUGACAAGAGGCAACUCUUUCUGCUGUUGCUUCAGUUAAUUAACUCCUUCCCUGUCAUAGCAAGCGGAAACUCCUGUAUCCCACCUCCCUGCUGCAGCGAUUAUGCUUGAAUAGAUUUCACAGCCACAGAGAAUGGGUGUGUUUGCUAUCUCCUUGGUCAGGUAGGAAAAACCUGCAUCCCUUUUGAGUCCCUGAUUGGUGAUACAUAAAAACAAAUUGACCAAGCCUGUCAAUAUUCCUUCUCUCCAUUUUGACCCAUCUCCUGGCCCUUGUCCAUUUCACCCCCUCCAAAUAAUAGCACAUGUAUCUUUAAAAAGAAAAAGAAAUCAUUUUCUGUUGCUCUCUAAACUUUCUGUAGUAAAUUUUAAGUAUUUGUUUGUAGAAAAAGUUAGAAUAGGGAGGGCAUAAAAAUGUCACAUAUUUGUGAAAACAACAUAUGAAAAUGCAUUUUAUUAGGGGGAAUUGCUUUGCAAAAUUUAUAUAUUAGGGGAAAUUGCAUACAGUGGUAGCUCGGGUUACAGACGCUUCAGGUUACAGACACUUCAGGUUGCAGACUCUGCUAACCCAGAAAUAGUACCUAGGGUUAAGUACUUUGCUUCAGGAUGAGAACAGAAAUCGCGCGGUGGCGGCGUAGCGGCAGCAGGAGGCCCCAUUAGCUAAAGUGGUGCUUCAGGUUAAGAACAGUUUCAGGUUAAAAACUGACCUCUGGAACGAAUUAAGUACUUAACCCGAGGUACCACUGUACAAACAUGUGCAUAUUAGGAGAAAUUCACUGCUGAAUUGUUAGGAGGACUUUAAAAAAGUAAAUCACAAAUUGGUGUGGAAAUGUUUAAAAGCUAAAGAUGGGAAAAUGAGAAACUGAUAUUGACAGAAUUGCCCAUCUGUAUUUCUGGGUUACAACCCAGUUGUAAACCAGGAAAGUAAAUGCCUUACAGGAAUAAGUAUAGAGGUAAAAGGGAAGGGAGAAAGAAAUUUGCACAGUAACCAGAGGGAGAGUUAAUUGGUGAGAAGAGGUUCAUCCCUCCUAUACCAGGAGCCAGAGACUUGCUAAUAUCUAUCUGGAGGAAUAAGGAGACUUUAGGGCUCCAGGCUCAUGAGAGCUUGGCUACUCUCAUCUGUGGGAGAUAUCAGAACAGGAAGGAUGCUGCAUAUUUAUACAUCAAACCAAUGCAAGUUGUAUGAACUAAAGCAGCACAAAUUUGAACGGAAGCUAUAGUGAAGAGAAAUCCUCAGAGAAUAGUACACAAUGAAUUCUGGGGAAAUAAAUGUUUAAGUCCUUAAAGAUUCUGUAACUAGAAACAAGUUUAGAAAGUGACGCCAGUGGAGCAAUACAUCCAGAAAGAACCAGGGCCAGAAAACAAAGUUUGGUAUCACCGGCUUUGCUUCUUCCUUUGCUUUAUUCUUCUCGCAAUGCUUAGUUAAUCGAGGCACAUCAGAAAUGCUACAAAAGAAAUAAUGAUACAGACAGCAGUAGAAAUAACACCCAGUUUUUCAUUUUCUGUAAUGGGACUUUGAUAAUAAUAUAGCAUUGUAGUUGAUUCACUGUAGUGACUGGAGGCAAACUCAGAAAAGGAAAAAUGUUUCUUUAAAAGCUUUCUCCAUUCGAAGCUUUUCAUUUUCCCAGGACAAAUGGAAGAACUGAAUUGCACAAAGAGCGUUGUGUCAUGAGUUUUACAGUCAACUCUGAAAUUAGUCCUUGGGGUUUGAUAAAUGGAUUAGUAAUGCCUUAGAUCCAGGCAACUGUGUGGUUAGUUCAAUAUGCAUAGCCACAACUUGUGUAGCUAGCCACAUCAUAUAACAACAUCACCUUACAUAUAUAACAAUUUAUUAAUGUUCAGUGUUGUCAACGUGCUUUUCAGAAACAAAGGAAGAGAACACUAGGAAUGGAUAAGCGUAUUUCCAUUUCAGUCGCAGAUGUGUUUCACCUCAUUUCUGCAUUAAUUGUUAUUAUUCUUUUAAAAAAAGAACAACCAUCCCAAAAUGAAAAUAGGAGUUUAACGUGUACUUUAUCACAAAAUAUUUAUUUAACAGCAGCCCCAUCCUCCAUCAUAUGCUAAAGCAAAUGACUUUCGAAACUCUGAGGAAAGCUCUUUCUGGGCUGACAAGCAGAGAUGCUCAUCUAUAAGAUAUGAACACCAUAGCUUGAAUGAUUUGGAAACGGUGAGGCAGGCACAGCCUCCUUUGAAUACCCAGGUGCACAUACCUGAUUUCCCCUAUGCACGUUGAAUGCAAGCCACUGCUGCCUUCUCCUUCCCCAGGCGAGAGAAAGAAGAAGAAUUAGCUUUUUCAGAAUGUGGUAGAAGUGGUGGCUCUGGCUGGGCUCAUGGAAUGUCUAUUUCUUCUGAGGAUCCUGGGAUCCAUAACAUGCAAGUUCUAGUUUAAAAAAACAAAACAAACUAUUGUGGGUCAGAAUUAGAUCAAAUUUGUAGAGAAGGUUUGCUAACUCUGAAAGAAUGGAUCAUGACAAAUUUUGAAGGAUAGCUGCAGUGGUUUUAUUUUGCACUUUUGGAGGGUGAAUGAGAAUUAUGUACUCUCCCUAAAUGUUUUGGGAGAAUUUUGGUCUGAAAAUUGCGGAAUUAAGAGAGGUGCCACUGCGUAAGAAAUCUUCCAGAUUUCAGAUAAAUAGUUCCAAGGGCUUUAGUGCUAGGUGUCAUUAAAGAUAGACCCCACCCAAUGAAGCUGUCUAAAAUGUGUAUGUGUGUACAAAAUCGAGUGACAUUUGUAGGCAAAGUCAUACCUUCCAAUGGGUGGAAUCCUUCUAAAUUCCAGGAUGGCAACAGCUGUUUCCCCACAAGCACAGUCUUUAUAGUUGUGUGGUGGGUAAGACAGGAAACAAUCUCCCCCUUGUGUUUUCUGGGCAAUUGGUCUCAAAAUUGCAGACACAAGAAAGGCGCUUCUGUGUAAGAAGGCUUCCAAAUUGUAGUUAAAUACAUCCUAGACCUUUAAAGUUGAAUUUUUUGGGGGAGAGAAGUGGAAGAACUAAAAUGCAUUUGCUUUUUAGGUAAAACUAUUCCUCAGAUUACAGGUUUGAACCAUCAAUCACAAUAACUGUCCUCCGGCCCUCUUCCCAGGCUGGUGUUUGCUGUUCCUUCCCCGAUUGCUUAACUCUGGCAUUUUAGCUAUAUGAUAAGCUUACAGACAUUUAGCUAGAGCUAAACUGAAUGAUGACAGAGCUGUUGAUUAUCAAGUCACCCAGACUUUCCCAGGACAGCUUUGGAGUGGCUGGCUUGAGAAUUACAUCUUUAGGAUGCAGUUGCCUAACAUCUGCCACCAUAAGAUUCUUAAAGGAGCAGUCUCUUUCACAUGCAGAUAUUGGCAGCCAAAAUAUGGUGUAAAACACACUUCUGUUUUUCUCCAGAAAUGUGUGCCAGAGCUCUAAGAUUCCAUCUAAGACAGAGUUUCCCAAACUUGGGUUUCCAGCUGUUUUGGGACUACAAUUCCCAUCACCCCUGAUCACUGGUCCUGCUAGCUAGGGAUGAUCAGAGUUGUAGUCCAAAAACAGCUGGAGACCCAAGUUUGGGAAACCCUAAUCUAAGAGGUGGUAGUGUAGUGAGUGGCUUGUACUUAAGGUAUCCUGAAGAGAGAGUUUCGGAGAUCACCAAGUGAUAGGCAAGGAAGAGUGGUCCUGUAUGAGAGACCCAGUUUUGCUUCCCUUGCAUCCCCCUGUUCUACUUGGCUGAAGUCUAUCAUAUGUCAUGUUCUUUGUUUAUCAUUGUAUCAGAGAAAUAAAAUGAUGGUGCAAAAUGCAGUAGAACAACAUUGUGAGUUACGGUAUCUACACCCUCCAUAUGAGCACAGAUUAUACAUUCCAAAUUAGGAGCAUUUCUUCCUCCCUGCUGCCUCAAAGACUUCCACCUACACUUGCUUGCUUUAGCCAAUUUUCCACUGUUCAAGAAACGAGGGGGAGUUGGAUGUUUGGCUAAAUUACAGUUCUAAGCUAAUCCUUUUGGAACAAAACCAUUCAUUCUCGUGUUGUGCAAGAGAGUAAAAAUAUAACAGGAGAUAGGUGCAUUAAUUUUUGCCUUACAAAAUGUUCCAGAAAGAUAAAAUGCUAUUACCCAAUGAGUUUUAAAAAGCACCUCUGCUGCUGCCACUGGUGAAUUAUUACUACUUAGGAAAAUCAAUAAUGACAUUUGAUUUUUCAGGACAUUUGAGAGCCUGGAUGAUCCACUGUUUAAAUACAGAAAUCUGUCUUACUUGAAGUCAUUAAUAGCGAGAAAUGUCAAGCAAAGUACUUUGUAGUCAAGGAGAAAAAUGAGCUUUAUUUUAAAGUCUGGGAUGACAGUAUACCAUACAGGCCUGACACCAGAUGUUUGUGGAUUUUACACAUUCACAUACCACAAGGUCCACUUUAUCCCCUCCCUCCUGGCAACAUUUCACUUCUUGGUAAUAAUGCUUCUUAGACCGUAAAUUCUCUAUGUUAUGUUCUGCUUUUUCUCUCAUUUUCCGCAUUAUUGUUCACAGUUCCAAGGGGUGAAUUUAUGCCCCCUUCAAGCCUUGGUUAGGAAUUCAGAUCUGUCACACGUCAAGGGUCAUGUCAGGGAGGGUGAGGGCACACAGCUAAGCCCCACCCAUCCAGCACAUCGCUCUCAUCCAGCCAUGCAUGAGUUUGAGGGUGGAGGUCUGCAAUUGUUUUCUUUGGAACUUGAGAGUUCACCUCAGGCUGGACCCUGAGUGCUUAAGGAAUCUCAGUGGAUGUUUAGCAGAAGUUUCUUUGUUAAAUGGUAAAUGUGGCUGUAUUGUAAACCUGUAGAAUGUUUGCAUUAAUUUAGCAGGAAAUGCAUGGUGAGCUAAGAAUUAUGGCAUGUUUGCUUGUUAUUUUUUGCUUCAGAGCAUUUGAAUUCUGGAGUAACUCCUGUAGCUGAGAGGGGUGCAUAGAAUAUGAAUUGUUGUAAGUUUCCAGGCACACCUUUCCCUCACAAUUUUAGGCAUUUAUUUAUUUCUCCUUGAUUUCCUACCCCCCUCCAAGUAGGUCCUAUUGAAUUCAACCAGUAAACGAAAGUCCCUUGGUCCUUGGCUCUUAGCCCCAUUCUCUUCACUUUAUGUAUUCUUCAUUUUGACAAUCUGUUUCUUCUUUUGAUUUAAAGUAUCAGUGUUAUGCUGUCUCCCCCUGUUCUUACUCAUAUUUCCAAUUGUCCUGUGGGCUAUAUGUGAUUGGGUAUGCAAACAUAAACUCCAACUUAAUAUGCAGAUGACAGAAUUUAUUAUGCAUCCUCUAAAUCUUUCAUUUCAGCUGUCAACAUCACCCUCCAGCCUUUUCAACAAAUUAUGAAUGUGGACACUAUCCUUGAUCCUUCUCUUUGGCUUUCAGCUCAUGUUAUUGCUCUGAGGUCUGCUAUCAUGUUAUCAGCUAAGGUCUGCAAAGUCCUUCUGUCACAUACGUUCCCAAAAUCUGUCCUUUUUAUCUACUGACUCUUAGUAGAUUCUUAUUCAUACCUUCAUUCUAUCAUAUUGACUUACGUAACAUUUUGUGCAUCAGUCUUCUUAUCUCUCAGCUUAAGUCUAUUAUCUCUGUUUUCCUCUGAUCAUUUAGUCUGCAAUCCUACACCUCCUUCCCUAGGAAUAAGCCCCAAUGGAUCUCAGUGGGACUUAUUUCUGAGUAGACGUCCAUAGGAUUGCUCAUCAAACACUAAUCUCCUUAUAAACCUCCUUGCAGUUUCUUGUCUCCUUGCAUUUUUCCUUGUGACAAGCUGAGCUGAAAGUGUCGCCUAACCGUCGCAGCACCAUUUUGUGGCUGCAACAGUCAGGAGCUACUUUCAACACCUUUCAGGUGGGCUGGUGAAUUCUUUAAGCUUUGGGGCACAGAGAAUUUACAUUUAUAAUAUCUAGGAAUAUCUCAAAACAAGCAGUGGUGGUAGUCCUGGGGCUCUCCAGCACCAUGCUGACCGACAGACUUUCCUCUGUGGAAAGUCACAUUGUUGGCAGAAGAAAAUGGCUGCCCUCAGUUCACACUUCCACUUGUCCUGUCCUUUUAGGCAUGGGUCUGAGUGGUUUUGACUUGGCCCAUCACACUUCCCCCUGAAGAACCUGCUCUUUAGUGCUGAAUCAGAGCAACCAGCAACUCAAUUGCCAUUUGUUCUGAUUCAGUGCUAAAAAUUGGAUUUCCUCAGGAGAAAGUGGCGAGGCAAACAGAGGUGUGGAUAAACCCUUAAUUUGCUUAAUCCUGUUUGUUUGUUUUUAUUAAUACAAUUAUAUCCAAACUUUCCCCCAAAGAGAUCUCUUCUCUGUGGGGUAGUUCAAGCUGGAUUGUUGUUUUUCUGCCACUGAAUGAACAAUCAGCUUGGUUUUUACAAAGAGCUUUGUAUUGCCUUCAGCCCAGUGAAUUCGUGGGUUAUGGACUCCGUCUCACUGAUGGGUGGUGUGAAUCAAUUCAGUUCCACUGUAGUGUGUGAAGUAACUCACUUUGGUGCCAUUUUAGGGCAAAACCCUAAUACUACCAUUUGUCUGUCGGCUGCUAUGUGCUUCCAGUCUUCUCGUGUCAGUAGCCUGGAAUAAUUGUCUGUUUCACUGAUUUGAUAAAAAUGCAUCAUCUUCUGUUGGUGCCACUGGUUAUGAAGCAAGGAAGAAAAGUUUUAGAGGUCACAUUUGAUGAAUUAUGUAGGCUUCUUACACAGUCACAUAGUCAUUUGACACCUGUGACCUACUUAAACUACGGAAAAUCCUGUUAGAGCAAUUGCAGAUUUGGAGUGACACACGAGUAAGUAGCUCACAGAACUUUAAAUAAUGUGACCUUAAAAAAAAAAGGAAAUGGCUGGUUUUUCUAGCCUUGAAUUAAUUUUACAUUAAACUGGCUGAAAGAACAUGGACCUACUUUUGCGGCUCUUUGCAAGCACUUAAGGAGAGCAUUUCUGGGCAAUUAUAUCACUUUGUGCAGUUACUUUGAUAUGGCCAAGCUUAAUGUGAAAUGCAAUUGUGUGCAUCUUCUUUCUCCUGAUAGUUUAAAAGGAAGAAGCCAUAAGCAGCUUCAGCAUGUUGUAGAGUUAGAGCUGAAAGUGUGUGUGUGUGUUCAUUCUCUUGAGUUGCUUCCCACUCAAAGUGCCACACCCAAGUUGUUUUUCUCUCUACAGGCUAAAGAUAUGGAAACCCAUAUUUUUUCUCCAUGGGAGGGAAAACAUUCUUGGAGGGAUAAUUUUAAGCAGAAAUUCUGCCACAAGGAACCUAGCCUUCUGCUAUUCCUCCAUUCAAACUCACAGUCCCUGAGACUGCAUUAUAACUAGCCAUGUGCUGGACCUUAGGAGAUCAGAUUUACCACGUACACCGAUGGCCGCUAUGUAUUUCAUCUUGAGAAACAAAUAAAUGAGUAUCUUUGUGAUAGUAAUGCCUUAUUUUAUACAAGGCAUGAACAGCUUCUCCCAUCAAGAUGUCAGACCUUCCAAGUGUCCCUGUUUUCCAGGGACAGUCCUGGAUUUACAGAUGCUGUUCUGGUUUCUGAUGUGAUCCUGGAAUGCCCCACUUUUCCCUUAGGAUGUCCCUAUUUUCUUCAGAGAAAUGUUGGAGGGUAUGGAGUUAUCCGACUCCCAAGCCAACUGAAGGCAGCCAUCUAUAGGAAAGGUUUUCUUUAAUGUUUAAAGUUCUCUUACGUUUAUAUAAAUGUUGGAAGCUGCCCAGAAUGGCUGGGGCAACCCAGUCACAUGGACGGAGUAUAAAUAGUAAAAAAAGGUUGUUGUUGUUGGCACCCCUAUUUUCAUCAGAGAAAUGUUGGAGGGUAUGAGAUGCACAUACUAAACAGCUGUAUAUUGGGGUCUGCCAGGUGCUUGCACAUUGUUUAUUUCCAUGCUGUGUGCUGUUCCAAUCACUGCGGCAGGCAGGCCUUUCCCACCCCCCUGAGCAACCAGUAACUUUAAUGGAGGGGUGGGAGGGAUGUAAUUCAAGCAACUGCUGCUACAUUAGCAGUAUGUGUAGGAAAGGAAUAGCUGGCAAAGAUAAUUGCAUGUUCAGACCCAGAAACCUCCUCCCUAAAUAAAUUCACUUGACUCAAAUUUUAGUUUUGGUUUUUGGCAGAAUUUAGGCCACAACUUUAUUGAUUACAGAAAGUGAGUGGUUGCAUAGGCUCUGGUUCAACUAGCUCCCUGCCAUGCAGGUAGCGCUGACCCAGGGUUCCAGCAUAGGUCAGCCAAGGGUGAACACCUGGAUAAGCAGAAAGCCGGGAACAGGCUAUCUCCGCCACCCAAAUGUCCCCCUCAACUCAGGCAUGGGCACAACCCCCUCUCAGGGGUUGACCAAACCAUUGAGUCCCUGGAUUCCUUUAACGGAAUACCCUUCACAUACGGAUGGCGAGAGCAUUCUCCCCUCCCUAUCACCUGAACCAGAGCCUAUCCACAACCUUACAAGUUGUGACGAUUUGCUAUGCAGCCGGCGAAACCCAAAUGGCAACAGCCAAUCAGCCUAGUGGGGCAAAUUCCUGCCGUGCCCCUGUCCCAAUGACAGACGACACACAACAGCAUAGCAAGGUCAAGCACAAAAGCCCUAAAAGUAGGGAGAGGUGGGCGGGUGUUCUGAAUGCACACACCGAAAGAGGAAGCUCUGGGUCACAUGCAUCGGCAUAUAUAGGUCUAAUAAUAAUAAUAAUAAUAAUAAUAAUAAUAAUAAUAAUAAUUUAUUUAUACCCCGCCCAUCUGGCUGGGCUUCCCCAGCCACUCUGGGCAGCUUCCAACAAAAUAUUAAAAUACAGUAAUGUAUCAAACAUUAAAAGCUUCCCUAAACAGGGCUGCCUUCAGAUGUCUUUUAAAAGUCUGGUAGCUGUUGUUCUCUUUGACAUCUGGUGGGAGGGUGUUCCACAGGGUGGGUGCUACUACCGAGAAGGCCCUCUGCCUGGUUCCCUGUGACUUGGCUUCUUGCCAAGUGAGAGAACUGCCAGAAGACCCUCGGUGCGGGACCUCAGUGUUUGGGUAGAACAAUGGGGGUGGAGACGCUACUUCAGAUAUAAUGGACUGAGGCCAUUUAGGGCUUUAAAGGUCAGCACCAACACUUUGAAUUGUGCUCGGAAACGUACUGGGAGCCAAUGUAGGUCUUUCAAGACCAGUGUUAUGUGGUCUCGGCGGCCGCUCCCAGUCACCAGUCUAGCUGCACCCCAUUGGCCAGAUUAAACCCAGCAUCGAGGGACCUACCAAUCAGGUGUUGUGGCUGACCAAUCUUAUCCACCCACAACACAGGGUAUCGGUUUCCAGGUCUCACCACAACUCGUGCCCUCUUUAAGGGAGGACACAAUUUGUGAAUGGAGCACUGGUAUUGGAACAGCAUAAGUGAACUGGAUGUUUAGCACUGGGCACUUUGGGUGACCUGUGGCAUUAUGCUUCCCCCUGGUCUCUGUUUUCAAUUUAACAUGGUACACCAGCCGCUUGGAAGGCUGCGAGUCUCAAUCCGAAAAGCAUCUCUGCCUUUGACUCUGCCUUUGAUAAGGGCAUUGCUUUGGGCUCACUGUUCAGCCAACUGUGUGUGCAGCAAGAAUCAGUGCUCUGCGCUGUGACCUUGGUGUAUUUGACCUGGGAGCCCCGGAGAGAUGUAAAGGAAAUAAACAGAAAACCCCAAAUGUGUGUGUGUGUGUGGCUGUGCUGAUCAGCAGAAAAGAUGAAUGAAUAUGCUGCAAGGUUGAUCAAUAUUUUAGUUCUAUUAGCAGUUCUCCUUUUGCGUGACCCCCAGACUAACAAAGCCAUGUGGCUCCUUUUUUCCGGCGCCUCUUUGUACUGUGACACAGUGCCCUGCCACCUUUAAGGAAAUAGGAUUCCUUGUAUUAGUUGUCGCCAAUAAACCUAGCUCAGCUGUCAAGAAAGACAGAUUUUUCCUAUGUGCUUUAUGUCAUGCAGAGUUUGUAUUAGGCAUUCUGUGUUUAUUAGGUGUAUGCUUCUUCAGGCUCUGUCUUCAGAUGUCCCUUCAUGUAAUUAUGGUUGGUUUUCUGGUCAUAAAUAAGGCUUACAUGGGAACAGAAGGCAAAGGGGAAAUAUAUGUAUGUGAAGAAUAUGGUCUCUCCAACCAUUUAUCAUUUCAUACAGCAGUUAUUCUUUGAGUGCCAGUGGCAUUUGUGUGAGAGGAGGAGUGUGGGGGGGGGGGGAGAUGAUUGUGAACUAGUACUCACUUCCCCUAUAGUAAGUAAUAGAAUCAUAGUUGGAAGAGACCAUGAGGAUCAUCUAGUCCAACUCCCUGCAAUUCAGAAAUAUUUCAACCAACAUGGGACUCGAACCCACAUCCUUGAGAUUAAAAGUCUCAUGCUCUACCAACUGAGCCUGUUUCAGUCCCAUUAAGUGGUGAAGAAGAACUGUGAGAUGCUGAUGGGGUCUGUUAACCCCAUUCCAGAGAUCUGUAGUUCUGACAUCUGCGCCCCUAAAUGGUCUAAAAGAGUAUACUUCUAGAUGGACCAUCUCUCACUGGUAGAGAACAUACUUUGAGGUCUUAACUUAACUGAAGCUGCAAUCCUGCACAAAGAUAUUUUCAAGAAAGCACCAUGGCAAUCAGUGGGGCAUGAUGCUGAACGAAUCUGUGUAGGUGCAUAUACAGCCUCAGGCAGACUUGCUAUGACAUAUUCUCUUGAAGACAAUUUGGUUCCCUGAAGAAUUUCCAUUUCCGAAAAAUCUGCCACAACUCAAUUGGAAAUAAUAGAGCAGACUUAUCAUAAAGUGUGUUUAAAAAGUAAGGAAAAUGACAAACCCAAGUGUUUCUGACGUGGUGAUUAUUAGCAUCGAUUAUGAUUUUGUAGUAACAAUAAUGUGAGACAUACAGAAAGAGGGUCCACCCUCCCUGCAUAGUCGGCUAUGAGUCACAGAGAAAUGAAAUUUGUAAUACAUAAGGCAUUAACUUUUAUUGAACCAAUCAUUCAAUGUAAAAAGCACACAGCCUUGUUUGCUGCCUGCAUAUCACUCUGAAUUGGGGAAGUGUCCAUUUCCAUCCUGAAAUGCCAAUCUGUAUCUACUUGCUACUCUCUGGUGGCAAUCAAGUCUCAGACUAUUUUGCUUUUGUUUUCCCCCACCAGGCCAUUUUAUAUUAUACCCAGCACUCAGUGCUUCCAAGAGUAAAACUUAAAUCAAUGUGGAGAGCUUGCAUGCUGCACCCACUGUAGUGUAGGUUAGUGCCUAAGGGCCAAACUACACAUUAUGUUAAAUGCAUGACCAUAUUUCACGUAUCUACAUUUUGUUUUUUAAAAUAGCAGCUGUUGUGGGUUAAAUUUUUUCCUUGAGCUUUGGUGUCAAUGAAAAUUACCAUCUGCAAGCAGCUACUGUAUAUGCUCUGUAGGUGAAGCUUCUAUUUGGCACCAGUGAGUUUCUCAAGUCAAAUAAUCUCUCUGCUGUUGUAUUUCCAACAGAGUGCAAGGUUGCUGUUGCCUUUACCCCAUUUUCAAGGGGGCCAAAGGGUGUUUGCAAGCAUCUUUGCUUUAAUUCCACAAAUCAUCUCUCUGCUGGUUUGUGUAAGGAUAAAUGUUAAUAUACCUUUAGACACACUUCCCAUAUCUAGUUUAGGAAGUUAGGGCCGAGGAGGAAGGGAUAGAAGCAGGAGAAAGUUGCCAAAGGAGAGGGGUUAUGUUGUACAGAGUUCUAUAAUCAAGUAUUUCUUGUUCAACCAGCCUCCCUGACUUCCCAUGAUUCAAUUGAAGCUUAGGGAAAGAUGUCAUGAGGUCAGUUCACCCAUGAAUUUUUUUGUGAUCAGGAAGCACAGGCAGUUGGGGAAGCUGUAGAGUAUAGGAUAAAUGUUUAAUGGCAAGAUAAACAAGCACCACACCCACAGCCAGCUUGCAGCAAGAAGGUAAUCUCACCUUUGCCCCCACUAACGUUCUAAAGAAUUAUUUUAAGUGCCUUGAGAAUUGGACAGAAAAAUGGAAGCUUCUUUUUGAAUUGGAAGAAAACUUUUAAGAAAUUGGAGAACAGGUUUGAGCACAGUACUAGCUGAAAUCUAACCCCUGCCCUGAACUUAAUAAUUGGACUUAGAUAGCCAUUCUGUGUUAACUUCACUCCUAAAUUGUCCCCUAUUGGCGUAAUAAUACUGAUAUCCUCUGCCUUCAAAACUCUCUGCCUUGCUUACUGAACGAGGCCCACUCAGCAUGCCAGCUCUGGGAGGAUAAGGACGCUUGUGUAGAGGCAGUUCCAAGGGGGGUGUUUGUCAUAUACGUGGUUUUGCAUAUACAUGGAAUGCAUGAUGUGAUGAUACUGUAUUGUUGUUACCCUUGUUGAACCUAGACAUCUUUCUGUUUUGCAAGGUGCUGAAGGUAAUGCAUGCCAGUCCUUAGGAUUUGCUGAUGGUGUCAGAUACAACCUUCUUUCCAGAUCCACCUUUAGUUCCAACUUUCAACAAGUGAUUCCCCUUCCUCCUUUGCAGUCUUCCCUUUUCUUUUCCCAUUCUGCAAAAGUGCCCGGCAGCUGCCAUUUUAGAUUGCCUUCUCUUGCCCAACACUACUUUCCUUGUGCAAUCUUUUUUCCUUUGUGUUUCCACUUUCCCCCCUAUCAAUCUUUUAAAAAAAGACUUACCAAAGGGUAGGGGGACUGUAUGGUGGUAAAGCCAUUUUUGCAACCCAUCUCCUAUCACGGUGCAACCAAGCGGUGAGUCAUGUCAAUGGGCAUCUAUUUCUUUCAGCAUCUAGUUUUGUAAAAAUGUGCUGCAGGCAGGACUGAUACAGGUGAAGGAAGCUUAUGUGACUUGAUGGCCAUAUCUCAAAAAGAUCUGAAAUUUAAACCUGCCAUAGUGAAGUUACACUCUCUCUGCCUCGGAUCGGCUCUGUGAGAGGGUGUUUAGUGUGUAGCUCUCAUUAGGAUCAUCCAGCUGUCACACAAAGGAGGUGUUUUGCCACUAGCAGUUUUUGUUCAAGUGAUGCAUGUUGUCUGUUGGUGUAUCCAGAUGAACUCAGCAUCUACCUGGUGAAUCACAGCAAAUGUUCGCCAGACUACUUAUAGGCAGGGGCAGCCUUUCAGGUUUCCUUAAUUGGGAGUAGGAAGAGAUUUUAGAAUAAAUGUGGGAUGGGGAGCAAGAGACACAGCAAUAGUGAAAUGCCUGCAUUUUUAAAAGCAUUUGUUGUUUAUUUUUAUUUUCUAACUCCCCCCGCCCCCAAUUCUUCUUCUGUCAUGGAGCCCAUAGAAGUGUACAUGUGGUUCCCAUCCAAGCACUGAUCAGACGCAGCUUCAUGUGGUUUUAAGCCAUAACCUGGGACUUCAAAAUAGCCACAUUUAUGGUGGUGUUGAAGGAAACAAAAACCCCUCCAUAUGGCUUGAAAUGGGAUAGAGCAACUACCUACACCCACUUGGCUUCCCAAAAUAGUGCCUUGAGAAUUCUGUGGCCAUUUCUAUUUUAGGUAGAAGUAGCAAGUCCCUUUUUAAAAGUGACCUAUGCUAGCAUGAAAGAGCAAGGAAAUCCAGAGGAAAUUGUAGCAACAAUAGACUAGUGGUGGCUGGGGACCAUCAAGACUGUUGGGGCAGAUUGCAGGGAGCCCAAGCAGCAGGCAGAGCCCAAGCCAAUGACAGGUUGGUUUUGUUUUUUGCCCCCAGCCUCCUCUCUGCUGAGUUCUAUAAAGACAACAUUGAGACUACAGAGGAAGAAGUCGACUGGUUGUGCAACCACCCCCCGGAUUGGUUGUAAGUAAGAUGGCAGACAGGUGGGGGCUGGGAGAGGGCAGACUGAGGCUGGUGGGGCAGUGCCCCACUUGCCAUAACAGACCUGGCUCCACUGCAACAGGCUAUAGGAACAAAAGUCAUCCUGGGCACCCAUCUCCUAUUUUCCCCAUCUAUAAUUAUCUAAAUUGAUCGUAAGGCAUUCUGCAAGCAGUAUUGCUUCCAAAAUCUGACAGUAAAGUUUGGUCACACCAAUUUAUAGUUUGUUCCAGGCCUCCAUUGGUAUUAAAUUACCUAGUUUCAGAUUUGUAUCAUUUUAAUUUGA